UUUGUUUUUUGUACGGUUGGAAACAUAUUGGGGCAGCCCACUCUUCUACACACGACUACACGAAUACUUUUUUUUUUCUAUUUUAGUGUAUCUAUUUAUCAUUUUUAUUUUAUUCAACAUUUUACAUGUAUUUUUACUUUUAUUUUUUAAAAUAAAUAUGUAACAUCCCAAAAAUUGUAGAAGAGACACUUUUGGCACGCAUGAAAGAUCUUUACUCUCACUUGCUGAUGUCUUUUUCUACAUGGAUCUUUUAUUUGUUUAUUUGUAUGUUUCCUAUUUCUGUUUAUCAUUUUUCUUACUUUGUUUCAUUCAUGUAUUACCCCAAAAAACAUUUUCCAAAUGUUUAUAUGCCCUUUUUUCUAUGUCAGAUUGAUAAAAAGGAGUUGCUUUUUAUUUUUAUUUUUCACUAAAAAAUCGCUUGUUUCUUACGCACAAGUGCAAUUAUCAAAACCCACAAGUAACUACAAGGGGUGCAACACCGUACGCAACUGCAUGCAUCUAAAAUCACAUGCAACUGUAAUGGGUACAACACGUCCACAACGAUGAGGAGCUGGGUGUGGCGAUGAGAUCGGAACAUGCAUGAUAUGGGUAAUUUUAUGAUUUUAAUUUUAAUUUUAGUUUUCUAUUCUCAUUUUCCAUCCACAUGGAAGUCGAGGUCCAAUGGAAUAUUCAUUUUUGGUUGUUUGUUCCUACAAUUUUGCCAGUGAGGUGUAUUUUUCAUUCCCCUUUUAUAUUAUUCUUUCCAAACUUUUUUUGUAAACGACAUGAUUCUUGCUAUCCUUUUUGUUUUAAUUUUUUUAUUAAACAAAUUUUAUUUUCUAAAAUUUGAAAAUAUCUUCUUUUGGUUGCACAAUUGGAUCCGACUAGUAGUUGCAUGUCUAUCACUGGGCACGCAACUGCAAACAUCACCCUCAAGUACAACUGCAUAUUUUGAACGCAACUGCAACUCAACUAUGUGAUGUUUGAUCAGGAGAAGGGGUAGUUGCAUGUCUGACACUAGGCACGCAACUACAAGUGCAUGUCCUCAAUGCGAGUGCAGCUAAUUUUGUGGUGUUUUGUCGGGGAUGAGUAGUUGCAUGUCUAUCACUAUCAUCAUCAGACGACAAAGCAAAGUAAGUUAAAGGGUAUUGGCACAAUUAUUGUUGCGCAUUCCAUGUUUUACCUUAGGUAUCACCGUGACUUCCACCGCAGGAAGGGUUGACACUACGAGAGGCUCGACAUAGGUGAAAGCAUGACCUCUUUGAGAUGCAAAAUAGGUGUAAAAGCAUAGGCCCGUCAUCAUAGCCAGUGGCAGAGAUAGACAACAUCUACUGCGGGGCGAAACGUAAAAUACAAUUGUUUGGGGGGGCAAAAGCUUAAAAAGUUCUCAUCUAACCCUCACAAUAUUUUCUUCUUCUUCACAACUUGGUUCAAUGUUGGGGGGCCAUAGCCCCCCCAGGAGCCUACAUAGCUCUGCCACUGAUCACAGCAGAAAGUUCCACCGAUGAUACAAGUAAAGUAUCACCUUCAUUCAAAGAUCAACGUAAAACCAUUAAACCCAGAAGGAUUGGUUUAUUAAUAACAAGCUGAACAAGAUAUUACCGAACAUGGUAUCGUGGAAUAGGGCGAGCAAAUCCUGAACAAUAAUCUGACAAAUCUUGAUGCGUUUGUGUUGGCGAAAACGCAUUAGGAGGAUGUAAACUGCAACGAACACUCAUUAUGUGUGAUUGGUCUUCGAAUCAGGGGCAAACAUAUUAAGGUUUGUUGUCUUACCAGUUACGGAAGACACUCCAGCGAUGCUUCCCUCCGGAGAAUACACGUAGGAUGCGCCAGAAAGUUCCCCACUACAUCCACCUUUCUCGCGAGAGGCACAUGACGCCAUUGCCUGCAAAAAUAGCCCCCAAGAUCUAGUAGGUCUUGAACAAGAACCCCCAGCCCUUCACCACGCUCGUUGGAUAUGGUAUAUGCCCCUGAUCGCGUAGUUCUUCCGUGUCAUUGGAGAUCACCGCCGGGUGGGGCUGUGGGUUAAUGGUUAGAUCGUACGGAUCGCAAAGGUUCAGAAACCAUAUCUCCUACUACAAGAUGGUGUAGGUGUUGCCGACCACAUACCUUUGGGGGGCUGAUGGCCUCUUCCUCGAUCUCGCUUCCGGUCGUUUUGGUAUGCUCCAUGCCGACUUCAUUCUUCUUGUUGUUGGCAUGUUCUUCCUUGUCAUUGCGGAUGAAUGCUCCUUGCGCCCCCGGCCGGGGCUGUCAUGGAAAUAUGUACUACCUCUGUCCUGGUUUAUUAGUCCCACCUGCAUAUAUUGAUCCCACAUGGACAAACCAGGCGACCUAGCCAACAUGUUGUUUGGGAAAGGAAAAGGAAGAUAAUCUUUUAUCUCUACUACUAUUAAAAAAGCAAACUUAGUUCCCCCCUAUGGCCACAUCACAAAGUGUACACGGAAUAACCAGACACGUCGGAUCAAAUCAACUUAAUCAGAUCCAAGUGUCCAUAUUACAUCAAUGGUAUGUCAAUCCAAUCAAGGAUUCAGAUCAAAUGUUCUGCUCGUAGACUGCCUCCAGACGUACUCCCUUCGUUUCUUUUUAGUUUGCAUAUAAGAUUUGGUCAAAGUCAAACUUUGUAAAAUUUGAGUAGCUUUAUAGAAAAAGAUAUCAACAUCCACACAAUAAAAUCAAUAAUAUUAGAUGCAUGACGAAAUUAAUUUUCAUAACAUAUAACUUUAGUAUUGGAGAUGCUAAUAUGGGCAGGGGGGAGGUGAUGAACGUUUGAUUGACUCCUAAUUUAAAGCGGCAAUCUAGGAAGGAAAUUAUGGCCGAUGUUAGUCAGCGGCCCUACAUGGCUGAAUAACUCCUACUCAUUAAAGUUCAACGCAAAAAAAAACGACUCCUAAUUAAAGCGACAUUGGGACCCUUGAUUUCAUGGCACACUCAUUCUAUGACGCUGCAUGUCAUUCCUAAGGUCACUUCCAAUGCAUUGGUGCUUAGAUAAGGUGCUAAGCAUAUUAAAAAAAAUAGCAACUAAGGUCCAUAAUACAUAGGUGCUUCACUUGUUGGUGCUAAGCUCCCCUUAUUUAAUGCUUUAGUAGCUAAACUAUUUCAUGCAUUGGUGGAUUUUUUUUUCAUUUAAUUGCUUUUGCCUAGAUUCACGUGCUUAGCAUUGGUUCUUCAUGGGCUCACUGAUACGUCUCCAACGUAUCUAUAAUAUUUGAUUGUUCCAUGCUAUUAUAUUAUCUGUUUUGGAUGUUUAAUGGGCUUUAUUAUACAUUUUUAUAUUAUUUUUGGGACUAACCUACUAACCGGAGGCCUAGUCCAAAUUGCUGUUUUUUUUGCCUAUUUCAGUGUUUCGCAUAAAAGGAAUAUCAAACGGAAUCCAAACGGAAUGAAACCUUCGGGAGAGUUAUUUUUGGAACAAACGCAAUCCAGGGGACUUGGAGUGGACGUCAAGAAAUAAGCAAGGAGGCCACGAGGCAGGGAGGCGCGCCUGCCCCAUGGGCGCGCCCCCACCCUCGUGGGCCCCUCGCACUCCACCGACCUACUUCUUCCUCCUUUAUAAACCCAUGUACCCCGAAAACAUCCGAGAGCACCACGAAACCCUAUUUCCACCGCCGCAACCUUCUGUACCCGUGAGAUCCCAUCUUGGGGCCUUUUCCGACGCUCCGCCGGAGGGGGAAUUGAUCACGGAGGGCUUCUACAUCAACACCAUAGCCUCUCUGAUGAUGUGUGAGUAGUUUACCUCAGACCUUCGGGUCCAUAGUUAUUAGCUAGAUGGCUUCUUCUCUCUCUUUGGAUCUCAAUACAAAGUUCUCCUCGAUCUUCUUGGAGAUCUAUUUGAUGUAACUCUUUUUGCGGUGUGUUUGUCGAGAUCCGAUGAAUUGUGGGUUUAUGAUCAAGAUUAUCUAUGAACAAUAUUUGAAUCUCCUCUGAAUUCUUUUAUGUAUGAUUUGUUAUCUUUGCAAGUCUCUUCGAAUUAUCAGUUUGGUUUGGCCUACUAGAUUGAUCUUUCUUGCAAUGGGAGAAGUGCUUAGCUUUGGUUUCAAUCUUGCGGUGUUCGAUCCUAGUGACAGAAGGGGAACCGAUACGUAUUGUAUUAUUGCCAUCGAGGAUAAAAAGAUGGGGUUUAUAUCAUAUUGCUUGAGUUUAUCCCUCUACAUCAUGUCAUCUUGCCUAAUGCGUUACUCUGUUCUUAUGAACUUAAUACUCUAGAUGCAUGCUGAAUAGCGGUCGAUGUGUGGAGUAAUAGUAGUAGAUGCAGAAUCGGUCUACUUGUUGCGGACGUGAUACCUAUAUACAUGAUCAUGCCUAGAUAUUCUCAUAACUAUGCACUUUUCUAUCAAUUACUCGACAGUAAUUUGUUCACCCACCGUAAUACUUAUGCUAUCUUGAGAGAAGCACUAGUGAAAUCUAUGGCCCCCGGGUCUAUUUUCCAUCAUAUAAGUUUCCGAUCUAUUUUAUUUUGCAAUCUUUACUUUUCAAUCUAUACAACAAAAAUACUAAAAAUAUUUAUCUUAUUAUCUCUUUCAGAUCUCACUUUUGCAAGUGGCCGUGAAGGGAUUGACAACCCCUUUAUCGCGUUGGUUGCAAGGUUUUUAUUUGUUUGUGUAGGUACGAGGGACUUGCGUGUGGCCUCCUACUGGAUUGAUACCUUGGUUCUCAAAAACUGAGGAAAAUACUUACGCUACUUUGCUGCAUCACCCUUUCCUCUUCAAGGAAAAACCAACGCUGUGCUCAAGAGGUAGCACUCACCAAACUCACCUCUCUCCUCUUUAUUACCUUGCCACAUCAGAUUUUUUGCCUACAUGACAGCCUUAGACUAGCCACAGUGGGAGUAACUUCAGCAGUAACAUCGAGUCCAACUCAGCAAAUUUGCUUAUGUGGCAAUGAGUUAAUGAAGAGAGAGGUAGUUUGAGUAACUUAGCUAGUUACUGUAACAUCACAUGUCUCAAUGCAAUAUGAGUCUAUGACCUAAUAAAUGAAACUUUGCAUGACACGACAUGUAUGUUACUACCCACUAUGAAGGUAGUAACAUAGUCUAGGGAUAAGUGUAUGUUACUAGUGUAUGCUACUCUCCAUUGUGGCUACUCAUAGCACAUGUACAAGGUGGAGCAUUGGGGAGGGCCUAAGGCUGAUCGUAAUGGGAGUAUCAGGCUGGUCAUAGUGGCUAGUAUCAUACACUAGUAUCAUGCAUAUGAUACUAGUGUAUGAUACUACAUCUAUAGUGCAUAGUAUCAUAGAUUAGUAUCAUAUGUGGUCUUAUUUAUUGCCAUGCAAGACAUAUAGUAGCGUAACAUUAAUAACAUUAAUUAUGAUACGGUAUCUACCUAUGUUACUAUAACGCUCUCUCUCUUCUUUCAUUGUUUGCCACAUAAGCAUGUUUGCGAGUUCCAAGUGCAUGAUACCACUUAUGUUACCCCCACUAUGGCCAGCCUCAUAGCUAGUAUCAUGCAUGCCAACUAGGCAACUUUGAUGAGGUGUCAUAGAAUUAAAUGAAGAAAGCGAGGGUUGAGUAUCAUAUCAUGAUACCGUCUCAUAAUAAAUGCUAUGCUGCUAUGUGUCAUGCAUGGCAAUAAAUAAAGUACUACAUGAUAUACUAAUACACGAUAAUACUAUGAAUUAAGGAGGUAGUAUUAUACACUAGUAUCAUACUAGUAUAUUAUACUUCUCAUUACAACCAGCCUAAUAGGAUAAAAAAUGCUACGUGCAAACGAUGAUUGACGAUCUUUAAAAGAAGCCGGGCAUGCAAAUCAGCGAGAGGAGAAAGAUACACAUUAAUCAUUGAGGAUGUUACUUUAUUUUAUUUUAUUUUCAAGCUUGACAAUUUAUGUUAUUAAUCUAAUUUUUAACAGACAAUCAGGCACGCUAAUUGGACAGUUUUGAAGUGAGGGAAUUAAAGAAAUUUUGAAAGUGGCACAAUUUUCCCUCCAUUCUUCAUUUUAAAUAUUUUUUGUUCAUUUACUGAAACUCUGGUACACAUGGCAACAACAACAUUAUUUUACAUUUUUUAGGGGACAUUGUUUUUACACUAACACUACAAAGCAAAGUAACCUUAUCUUAUUUGUGAUUUUUUUAAAUACCUGCUACUCGAGGAAAGAACAAUAGGGAAAAAAAAGUAAUGCACUAGAUGUUUUUUGAAUUAUUAUUCCCUUCUUCUAUCCAUAUUCAAUUUGUCACAGUUGGAUAGAAGAAGUGGCGCGUGGAGCAUGUUUGUGAAAUGAGCAAGAUCUCAUAAUUCUCAUUAAAUUUGAAUCCACAUCAAUGCUUCCCCGUUGCAACGCACGGCCAUCUGUGCUAAUCAUACCGUAGAUAACAAUCAUACUUUCCCUUGUAUUUCCAAAAGCAAAAUUAAACUUUCCCCGAGAAGAAUGAUUUUUUUUUGUUUGGAAGCACGGGUGGAGGACGCUAGUUUACCCAAAGCCCUCGACGGUGAACUCGAGUGAUCCGACGGCCGUCAACGACCCGGUGACAUGUCCCGGUGCGCCCACCGCCGCAUAGUUAGCAGCAAUUAAAGCCGACCCCAAGGAAAAAGCUUCCGAUACUUCUUCUGUAAAAGAAAAGAAAAAAAAGCUUCCAAGCCAUGGCGAGUUCUCGCCUCGCUCUGGGCGUUCUACUACUGCUCGUCGGUGGGUAAUUUGUGCGUACGAAUUGAAUCGUAUUUUCCUUUUCAAUUCAACGGAGAGUUGGUUCGGGUGCUUAAUUUGGUUCUUGCAGUGGCGACAUCGGGUGCGGCGGCGUUCCGGACGGGCAACACGACGGCCAUCCACAUCGGCAACACCAAGGCCUGCAUCGCCGGCUACGGGGGGCUUGAGGAUCUGGGCAUGUCGUACAAGCUCUGCAUCCCCUCCUGGGUCGCCUUCACCCCCAACGGCACCCUCUUCGGCGAGGCCGCCUUGAACCACGCCGCCGUCAGCCCCGGGACGGCCGUCUCCGGCUUCAAGCGGGUCCUCGGUUCCAAGUACCAACAUUCUCUCUUGUUUUCUUCCCUCCUCCGCCUAAGUCGAUGGUAUUUUUUUAAGAACGAAGGCUCGAGAAAAAGCCCGAUUUUGAAUUAACAAAGCCAUCAACCGGCCAGAAAUUACAUCGGACAGCAUCUUACAAGAGGAAAAAAAACCGUCAACGGUAUUAAUUCAAGUGUUAUAUAUCUGGUUCUGGUUGCAGGAUGUUUGAGGACGUGGUGAAGGCAGAGAUGGAGCUGGUGCCGUACAAGCUCGUCGGGACCCAGGCCGGAAGGUGUGCUAUCCAGAUCGAGACCGAGGAAGGCGGCGCCGAGGUUUUCUCCGCCCACACAGUCGCCGGCAUUCUCAUAUCCAAGCUUAAGCGGAUGGCGGAGGCGCACCUGGGCCGCAAGAUCAGGAGCGCUCUCCUGACCGUCCCCUGGCACUGGAGGGACUACCAAAGGCACCUUCUCGCAACGGCCGCCCGGCUCGAGGGCGGCUUCUCCGCCGCGAGGUACGUCGACGAGCACGUCGCGGUGGCCGCGGCGCUCGGCCAUCACGAGAAGGCGCGCCAAGGCAAGGUCAUCCUCGUCUUCCACAUGGGCGGCCGCACGACCCACGCCACCAUGUUUAAGUUUCGGGACGGCACGACUCGUCUCAUUGAAGGGCGCCAUGAUGCCCAACUGGGCGGCGACGACUUCACCUGCCGACUCGUGGACCACUUCGUCCAGCUUAUCAGGGAGAAGCACCACCGGGACCUCCGCCAGGACGAUGGCGCGCUCCGGGAGCUGAGGGCGGCGUGCGAGAGGGCCAAGAAGGCGCUGACCUACUGGGACACCACGCUUGUGAAGGUGGAGUCGCUCUUGGACGGGGCGGAUUUCUUCGAGCCGCUCACGAGGGCCGAGUUCGAGGAGCUCAACCGUGAUCUGCUGGCGAGAGCCACUAGCAUGGUGGACCUGCUGGCGUCGUGGCGGUGGUGGCUCCCUCCCGGCCGGUGGGACAACAUCGAUGAGAUCAUCCUCGUCGGCGGCAGCGUGAGGAUCCCCAAGAUUAUUGAGUUUUUCAGGGACUAUUUCCAUGGCCGGGAGCCAAUUGUGGAGGAGGAAGCGGCGAUUCGCGGCGCUGCUCUGCUCUCCCGCCCUGAGUCUGCAAUGUUCACAUACGACAACUGCGAUUGCCAUGGAAAUCCUUUGCAGGCGUCUGAAAAUAUAAUUGAAUAGAUCAUAGGGUUUUGAGUCUUGUGGUGCUACAAAUAAAAUUGCACGUGCUACUUUGUAGUCAUCACCUUUUUUUGGAUGAGACAAUCUAGGACAUGGAGUUUCUGGACGUGGGUGCAUUCGCGUGACUGAACAGUAGAAAAAGAACAACUUUAAAAAAAUUAUAUAUCUUUUUCAGGACAAACAUUGUUGAAUGUUUUACCAACAUGCAAAAUUUCGUAAUGAAAAAGAAAUUGUGUAGGUAUGGAGAAGAAAACAAAAUUGAUGUUGUGAAAAGGGUAAUUCUUGAAAGUAUUUUUUUUGUCUAGACCUCCAUGAAUAUUUUUUCGUCAUGAAAUUUUCUAGGACACGUCUAGCAAGCUGUCCGCUGCUCCGUAGCGCUCCUCCCGAUUAGGAAGUUCCCUAUCACCUCCCCCCUCUCCAGGAUAGGAAAGUGUCCCAGUCCACCCUUGAUCCCCCCAUUCCUGCGUCUAGCCAUCGAGCCGAGAAAAAACACACCUGGUCCCCUCCCCCUCCCCCCCCCACUGGCUUCCUCCCCGCCCGCCCCCCUGUGUUUCUCCUCACCGUCUCCUUCCUUCUCCUCACCUAACCCACGUCCCAUCUUCUUCUCCCCCAAGCAAGAAAGGACAAUACGCCCUUUUCUCCCAGCUUCUCUUAUAUCCAGAAACCUUGGGAUCCCUGCAAUGGCAGUUGGAUUAGGGUUUCUGAUCUUAGCAGUCCUAUUUACAGAGAAAAAUAGAGAGGGGAACUGUCGUGGUUUUAUCACGGCAGAUGUCCUAGAGAAAGGACUUAGUCGUGGAGCCAUCGCUACGGGUUAACUUAAAGGGGUUAAAGCGGACAAGGGACGCAAGAGAGUUUUAUACUAGUUCGGCCCCUUACGAUGAAGGUAAAAGCCUACGCCUAGUUGUGAUGGAAUUGCUGGGGUUUCGAUGACCAGGGAGCGAAUAUGCUUUUCCUGAGUCUCGUGUUGUUGUCUGUUGUCCUUGAACCGCCGCCGGGUCGUCCCCUUAUAUACAUGGGUUGACGCCCGUCGGUUUACAGAAUCCCGAGGCCGGCUCAUAAUCGUGUCCGGCUCGGUCUCUGCUACUUCUAUCUUACAACACAAGUCUACAUAUCAACGUCGGUUUAUGUCUAUGGGCCUUAAACCGGCUUUGGGCCCUGGGCCUCCAUAAAGCGUCACCGUCUGUCUUCAUGGACUUCAGAUACAGAGGAACUACUUAUGGGGUUGACCCGGCCUCUCCUGGCCGGUUUACGCCCAGUAGUAAUAUCCCCAACAUUAGGCCCCAGAUUGAUUUGAACUGGUUCAUGUCAAUCCUCAAUACUUAAGAAAUUUUCUUCUUCAACAUCUUCACAUGAUUUUGUAAACCGCCUUGACAUCAUCUUCUAGGAUCAUGGUAAACCGCCGUGACGUCACCUGUUAUUUAAAACUGUGUAUAAUCCACCCUCAUUAAUGAGCCUCCGACAAUCGAGGCGACAGCUCCGCCUCAUAUCCAAAAUUUAAGCUCCUCGAUUUUCGCGCCUGACGCUUAACUUUCUGCCCUUAUAAAUAGGGCCAGGGGGUCUUUCCAUUUUCCCUUUCAUGCCUCUUCGCGUCGUCGUCUUCCUCGCGCCGACCGACCCUCAAGCUCUGCCGCCGCCGUCGUCCUUCGCCUCUGCUUCGACAAAGGCCGCUGCAUCAACCUGAUCGUAUCAGAGAAAAGCGGUGAUCCUCCGCUGCUUCCUUCUGCACCAGUAAGUCCCUCUUUUUCUUGCCCUAGAUCCGCCAUUAGGGUUCGGUGUUCUUCAUGGCUUGAAGCUGUUCUUCCUUCGGUAGCACCAAUGGCCGGUUAGAUCUGACUAUUUUCAGCGCCAUUUGUAGUUUAGACUCCUUUCUUCUUGUUAAGGCACCUGCUUGACAUCCAACUCAUCUGAACUCACUGAACUUUUUGAGCGCUUGAUAUUAUACCAGAGUAUUUUGAUUAUCCAACGCACGGCAUAUCUGAAAUUCUCAUGCCAAACUAUGAAACUUGUUUUUCCCUUCACUUAUACAUCUUUAAUACCAGAUUGGGCGGUUUAACUUCACAGAAAAAAUGAUGACCCGGUAGAUACCAUUAGUCCCCUGUUGAACCGCCAAUGCAUUACACCAUUUCCAUUGUCAGACUCCCGUUUACGAAUAACCAAAUCCGGUUUAUCAAUAUGCUUGUAUCCUUAUACCGCUAUAUAGUUGUCCACUGUAAAUCUUAAACCGGCAAUAAUCAUGUUUCAGAUUUCCAUUGUCAUGGCGAAGCAAGUCUAUGAAUGCAAUUGGGCUCCCUCUCGAGUAACUGAAGAGCAGUUAAACAAUCUUGUUAAAAUGGGCGCUUUAGCCAAGAAAGAUGUCAUCCACUGGAGGGUCCCUGGUCCGGAAAAUCCUCCUACACCCAAGGACGGAGAGGUAGUCGUGUUUGCUGACCAUCUGAGUCGAGGUUUUAGCCCUCCCGGUUUGAAAUUUUUCCGAGAUGUACUAGCCAAUUUUCAGCUGCGCCCUCAAGACAUCGGUCCCAAUUCUGUGACCAACAUCAGCCACUUCCAAGUCUUCUGUGAGGUUUAUCUGCAGGAGGAACCUACAGUCGAACUGUUUAGGGAUUUCUUUAACUUAAACCGUCGCACAGAGUUCUCGGAUGGACCCAAUACGGAACUGGGCGGAAUGGCGGUUCAGAAAAGGAAAGAAGUCACCUUCCCUCAUCCCAAACUCCACAGUCACCCCAAAGAGUGGAACCAUUGGUUUUAUUGCAUGGAUACAUCUCCACCUGAUGAAAACCCCCUGCCGGGUUACCACCUUGAACGCCCGAGCAACACACAUCCUUUUCCUCAGAGGUUGACUGCAAGAGAAAGGGCCAACUAUGCUCCUCAAUUAUCAAAGAUUAGAGCCUUCAUGGCAAACGGUUUGACAGGAGUUGAUCUUGCUCGCUGUUGGAUAAGCUGGAGUAUUCUGUCCUUAAGCCGGCGCUCCGGUUUGAUGUGUGAGUAUACGGGGAGUUUGAAGGAUGCUCAGCGGCACAUUGACAUUCAGCUUACAGAUGCAGAAGUCACUGAGGCUGUAAAAAAGAUACUGAACGAACCAGAGGCUGUCUGUGCCCAAACCGGACUACUCCCUUUCUGCACCUUCAACAAACCACCAGCUGUAAGAAUCAUAUAAUAUUUUUAUCUGAAGUUGCUUCUGUCCAAAUAUUCUGUGAAAGUGUGAUUAUUUUCUGACAGGGUGAUGAUCCGUUCUGGAACAAGAAACCAUCACAAGACAAACCGGCGAAGCUGCAAGACAAACCGGCCAAGCCAGUUCGUCCAAAAACCAAGGUUGUUAAAAAACCUGCCAAGAGAAGGACCACUGCAUCCUCCGAUCUACCAGCUGAUGAUGAUGUGGGUAAUCCGGAACCAGAGGUAGAACUUGACUCUCUUGGUUCAUUUUUCGUACACCUCAUUGACAAUGAUUAUUAUCAGGACGACGCUGAAGGCAGUCAUGCUGAUGAUGUAGAGGUAAUCAUUCUUUCCUCCGAUUCAGAUCCUCUGCCGACAUCAAAAAUCCGUCGAGCAAACUGGAAAGUAAAAUUUUCUCACCCCCUUGCUUACUUGGACCCAAACUUUCUUUUGAAGACACAGCAGCACAAGGCUCGCCGCACAACCCGGCACAGCGGCCAGGUAGUUACCUCCGCCGGUUUACCGAACAGUCCGGUUCGGAAACGCCGAUCAGAGGUCUCUUAUCCCAUUGAUACUUCAUGCCCCAAAGCAGGUUGUUUUCGCCAGCCUCUUAACCCGUCAAUUAUCAGGGUACUUCUCACUCAUCUUCUGGCGAGUCGUCGGCCACAAAACUUCCACCCCUCAAAACGGUUCUUGGGUGAGCUAUACACUUGUUGUUAUCCUUGAUGUUGCUAUUUUGAUAUACUGUACUGAUCCUCAUGUUUAUUUUUCUCAACGCCAAGCCCAGACCCAGCAAGAAAGCUCGGUUGAUAAACCGGCUGAUGAAGACGUGGCUGUUGAACCAAAGAAAACUCCAGAUCCUGAAGAGACCAACAUUAAUGCCAUACUGAAUGACCCACCGCCUCAAGAUCAUGACUUCAUUGCUGAGCAGGCAGCAGUUGACACCACAAGCCAUGCUGACCAGCCAACCAGCCCUGUCCGAACUGACAAUAAACCGGCAAGUCAAGUUAAAAAUACUGACAAACCGCCAACCCCAGUAACGGCUGCUGAUGACAAAGAUGAUGACAUUAUGAUUACUGGCACUGGCCAUACCGCUCCGGGCAAUCCUGUUGCUUUGUCAAAACAUACUGCCAAUGAUGAGCUCUCGGCAAUUGGCAAAGGCAAAUGGAACACCGAUUUGUCAAAUUAUGCCCAUCUGAAUGCUCAAGACCUUCACUCUGGCUUCCUGAACCGUCUGUACACCAGCCGUGACUAUGAAGCCGGUUUGGUAAAUAUGAUGAAGGAGCGAUAUGAGGUAACUUCAUAAGUUUUUCUCUCUUAUAUUUAAUUGCAGCUUAUCAACUCCAGUAGCCCCCAAGUGACGGUUUAAGAUAUCAAUUUAAACCGGGACUUAGUGACAAUUUCAUGUUUGCAACAAUGCAUCUUAACUUCACUGAUGUAGCCCCCAAGGGCCGGUUUAACUUUAUAAAGAUGAACCGGGACUUUGUAGAAGAAUUCCCAUAUCAGCAUUUUAUGAGCAAAUACACAUUAGCCCCCAAGUGCCAAGCUUAAUACUUGUAUUGUGCUUGGGACUUGUAAAAAUUUCUGAUAAAGAGCAAAUAUGCAUUAGCCCCCAAGUACUAAGGGCAUAACUUGUUAUGUACUUGGUACUUCAAAUAUGUACUGUCAACUUAUUAUAUAUCUGUCUCUUUGUAGGAUGAACUGAACAAGAAGGAAAGCCAAACCGCUGAUCUGCAAGAGAACCUCAAGUCCCAACAAGCUGAAACCUCCAAAGCGAAGGAAGAAUUGACCUGCGCUCUAGGCGCUAUGGAGAAACUGAAAGAGAGCUUCAACAAAGAGCGGGCGGAUUGGGAGACUAAAAAAUCCGCUUUGAUAAAAAGGGCUGAAAAAGCAGAAGCCGCUCUUAAACCGGUGGUUGAUGAACUGACCGGCGUAAAGCGGCAGAUUCAUGCUAUGACCGCUGCUGUGUUUGGUAAGCAUCCUUACUUUAUACUUUCAACAUAUCUUCCCAUGUGUUGCUGGUUUACUGACGUUUAUAAUGAUGCAGGAACUCGUAUUAGCCAUCUGGGCUCUGACGUACAGAGGAAAUUAAAAGCGGCCUAUACUCUGAUAGAGCAGCUGUAUACCGGUGCGCAGCGGAUCAUCUGCACCGCUUCACACAAUAAACCUCCUCCAACUUUGAUCAAGGACACCUUAGAAAGGCUAUCCAUGCUGCAUGCUCGGGUUGAAGAACUAAAGAAAGCUGCGGCAAGGGCCGGAGCUCUGACCGCUCUAACCCGGGCAAAGGCGUGGGUGCCUGAUCUUGAUCCGGUGGACGUGGCUAAAGGCUUCCCAAGCUUAAAAGAAGACGGAUCAGAAUUUGGCCAGGAGGAUCUCCGCGCCAUAAACCGGGAAGUACGUCCACUGGCUUGUCAAUUGGCUGAAGAAGCUGAUCUCUCAUACUAUCAGGCAAGUUAUGAUGACAAGAACAGACGGGUUGCUGCACCAAUUUCGGAAGCGCAAAAUCUGAUCCCUCCAAUCCGUAAGCACACUUAUGCCCCUGAUAUUGAACCGUCCACCCUUAUAAGCGACGAAGCUGUGUUCCAAGCGUUAACUGGAAUCGACUGGACAACUAUUGACUUCCAGCCGCUGGGUAGAGAUGAAGAGGAUGAACCGGUGCAAGAUGAUCCGCAGCCUUCAGGGCAAGCUGGUGAUCAAUCAUAAUCCGGAGGCCGGUUUAGCCUUCUACAUGCUGCAACACGUAUUUGAGAAAACCAUUAUCCUUUUGGGCACUGAAACGCCUUGUAAUAGGCUAGUUAAAGCACUUGGUCUGUUAUGCCUUCGUGCAUAUUUAUCUGCGACUGAUGUUUGCUUAAUCCGACAUGCUUAAGAUAUGAUGUUCAUAAUCCAUAGCCAUUUAUUCAAGCUGUUCCUGCAGAUGAGAAGCUUAAAGCGCCCUGGCGGUUUACCACCGGGCGGGUCAUGAUAGCCAAAUACAUAUAUAUGACCAAGGUUUAUAACCAAGGUUGUAAAGAUAACCAAAUAUGGAAAUAUAUGAUACCUGUGACCUUUAGGCAUAAUGUUGGCUGACCAACUUUUGUAGUGAGGGUCAUAACCCUAAUCUGGAGGAUAAGUAACUCCUGUUAUUGUUGGGGAUCGUAGCAGAAUUUUAAAAUUUACCUACGCUCACCAAGAUCCAUCUAUGGAGUAUACUAGCAACGAGGGGAAAGGAGUGCAUCUACAUACCCUUGUAGAUCGCGAGCGGAAGCGUUCCAAUGAACGUUGUUGACGGAGUCGUACUCGCCGUGAUUCAAAUCACCGAUGACCGAGUGCCAAACGGACGGCACCUCCGCGUUCAACACACGUACGGUGCAGCGAUGUCUCCUCCGUCUUGAUCCAGCAAGGGGGAAGGAGAGGUUGAUGGAGAUCCAGCAGCACGACGGCGUGGUGGUGGAUGUAGCGGGAUGUCGGCAGGGCUUCGCCGAGCUUCUGCGAGAGAGAGAGGUGUAGCAGGGGAGGAGGGAGGCGCCCAAGGCUGUAGUCCCACUGCCCUCCCUCCCCCCUUUAUAUAGGCCCCCUGGGAGGGGGGCGCCGGCCAGGAACCCAUCUGGAUGGGGGGGGCGGCGGCCAGGGGGGUAACUUACCCCCCAAGUCAAGUGGGGCGCCCCCCCACCCUAGGGUUUCCAACCCUAGGCGCAGGGGGAGGCCCAUGGGGGGCGCCCCAGCCCACUAUGGGCUGGUUCCCUUCCCACUUCAGCCCAUGGGGCCCUCCGGGACAGGUGGCCCCACCCGGUGGACCCCCGGGACCCUUCCGGUGGUCCCGGUACAAUACCGAUAACCCCCGAAACUUUCCCGGUGGCCGAAACUGGACUUCCUAUAUAUAAUUCUUCACCUCCGGACCAUUCCGGAACUCCUCGUGACGUCCGGGAUCUCAUCCGGGACUCCGAACAACUUUCAGGUUUCCGCAUACUCAUAUCUCUACAACCCUAGCGUCACCGAACCUUAAGUGUGUAGACCCUACGGGUUCGGGAGACAUGCAGACAUGACCGAGACGCCUGUCCGGUCAAUAACCAACAGUGGGAUCUGGAUACCCAUGUUGGCUCCCACAUGUUCCACGAUGAUCUCAUCGGAUGAACCACGAUGUCGAGGAUUCAAUCAAUCCCGUAUACAAUUCCCUUUGUCAAUCGGUAUGUUACUUGCCCGAGAUUCGAUCCUCGGUAUCCCAAUACCUUGUUCAAUCUCGUUACCGGCAAGUCUCUUUACUCGUACCGCAAUGCAUGAUCCCGUGACUAACGCCUUAGUCACAUUGAGCUCAUUAUGAUGAUGCAUUACCGAGUGGGCCCAGAGAUACCUCUCCGUCACACGGAGUGACAAAUCCCAGUCUCGAUCCGUGCCAACCCAACAGACACUUUCGGAGAUACCCGCAGUGUACCUUUAUAGUCACCCAGUUACGUUGUGACGUUUGGCACACCCAAAGCACUCCUACGGUAUCCGGGAGUUGCACGAUCUCAUGGUCUAAGGAAUAGAUACCUGACAUUGGAAAAGCUCUAGCAAACGAAACUACACGAUCUUUUAUGCUAUGCUUAGGAUUGGGUCUUGUCCAUCACAUCAUUCUCCUAAUGAUGUGAUCCCGUUAUCAAUGACAUCCAAUGUCCAUAGUCAGGAAACCGUGACUAUCUGUUGAUCAACGAGCUAGUCAACUAGAGGCUUACUAGGGACACGUUGUGGUCUAUGUAUUCACACAUGUAUUACGAUUUCCGGAUAAUACAAUUAUAGCAUGAACAAUAGACAAUUAUCAUGAACAAAGAAAUAUAAUAACAACCAUUUAUUAUUGCCUCUAGGGCAUAUUUCCAACAGUCUCCCACUUGCACUAGAGUCAAUAAUCUAGUUAUAUUGUGAUGAAUCGAACACCCAUUGCGUCCUGGUGUUGAUCAUGUUUUGCUCUAGGGAGAGAUUUAGUAAACGGAUUUGCUACAUUCACGUCCGUAUGUACUUUACAAAUAUCUAUGUCUCCAUUUUGAACACUUUCACGAAUGGAGUUGAAGCGACGCUUGAUAUGCCUGGUCUUCCUGUGAAACCUGGGCUCCUUCGCAAGGGCAAUAGCUCCAGUGUUGUCACAGAAGAGAGUCAUCGGGCCCGACGCAUUGGGAAUCACCCCUAGGUCGGUAAUGAACUCCUUCAUCCAGACUGCUUCCUGUGCUGCCUCCGAGGCUGCCAUGUACUCCGCUUCACAUGUAGAUCCCGCCACGACGCUUUGCUUGCAACUGCACCAGCUUACUGCUCCUCCAUUCAAAAUAUACACGUAUCCAGUUUGUGACUUCGAGUCAUCCAGAUCUGUGUCGAAGCUAGCGUCGACGUAACCCUUUACGACGAGCUCUUCGUCACCUCCAUAAACGAGAAACAUAUCCUUAGUCCUCUUCAGGUACUUCAGGAUAUUCUUGACCGCUGUCCAGUGUUCCAUGCCGGGAUUACUUUGGUACCUUCCUACCAAACUUACGGCAAGGUUUACAUCAGGUCUGGUACACAGCAUGGCAUACAUAAUAGACCCUAUGGCCGAGGCAUAGGGGAUGACACUCAUCUUUUCUCUAUCUUCUGCCGUGGUCGGGCAUUGAGCCGUGCUCAAUUGCACACCUUGCAAUACAGGCAAGAACCCCUUCUUGGACUGAUCCAUAUUGAACUUCUUCAAUAUCUUGUCAAGGUAUGUACUCUAUGAAAGACCAAUGAGGCGUCUUGAUCUAUCUCUAUAGAUCUUGAUGCCUAAUAUAUAAGCAGCUUCUCCAAGGUCCUUCAUUGAAAAACACUUAUUCAAAUAGGCCUUUAUACUUUCCAAGAAUUCUAUAUCAUUUCCCAUCAAUAGUAUGUCAUCCACAUAUAAUAUGAGAAAUGCUACAGAGCUCCCACUCACUUUCUUGUAAACACAGGCUUCUCCAUAAGUCUGUGUAAACCCAAACGCUUUGAUCAUCUCAUCAAAGCGAAUGUUCCAACUCCGAGAUGCUUGCACCAGCCCAUAGAUUGAGCGCUGGAGCUUGCAUACUUUUUUAGCAUUCUUAGGAUCGACAAAACCUUCUGGCUGCAUCAUAUACAACUCUUCCUUAAGGAAGCCGUUAAGGAAUGCCGUUUUGACGUCCAUCUGCCAUAUCUCAUAAUCAUAGUAUGCGGCAAUUGCUAACAUGAUUCAGAUGGACUUCAGCUUCGCUACGGGUGAGAAAGUCUCAUCGUAGUCAACCCCUUGAACUUGUCGAUAACCCUUAGUGACAAGUCGAGCUUUAUAGAUGGUCACAUUACCAUCCGCGUCCGUCUUCUUCUUAAAGAUCCAUUUGUUUUCUAUGGCUCGCCGAUCAUCGGGCAAGUGAGUCAAAGUCCAUACUUCGUUUUCAUACAUGGAUCCUAUCUCGGAUUUCAUGGCUUCUAGCCAUUUGUCGGAAUCCGGGCCCGCCAUCGCUUCUUCAUAGUUCGAAGGUUCACCGUUGUCUAACAACAUGAUUUCCAGGAUAGGGUUGCCGUACCACUCUGGUGCGGAACGUGUCCUUGUGGACCUACGAAGUUCAGUAGUAACUUGAUCCGAAGCUUCAUGAUCAUCAUCAUUAACUUCCUCCCCAGUCGGUGUAGGCACCACAGGAACAUCUUCCCGCGCUGCGCUACUUUGCGGUUCGGAAGGGGUGACUAUCACCUCAUCAAGUUCCACUUUCCUCCCACUCAAUUAUUUCGAGAGAAACUCCUUCUCCAGAAAGGACCCGUUCUUGGCAACGAAGAUCUUUCCUUCGGAUCUGAGGUAGAAGGUAUACCCAAUAGUUUCCUUAGGGUAUCCUAUGAAGACGCAUUUUUCCGACUUGGGUUCGACCUUUUCAGGUUGAAGUUUCUUGACAUAAGCAUCGCAUCCCCAAACUUUUAGAAACGACAGCUUAGGUUUCUUCCCAAACCAUAAUUCAUACGGUGUCGUCUCAACGGAUUUCGACGGAGCCCUAUUUAAAGUGAAUGCGGCAGUCUCUAAAGCAUAGCCCCAAAAUGAGAGCGGUAAAUCGGUAAGAGACAUCAUAGAUCGCACCAUAUCCAAUAGAGUGCGAUUACGACGUUCGGACACACCGUUUCGCUGAGGUGUUCCAGGCGGCGUGAGUUGUGAAACGAUUCCACAUUUCCUUAAGUGCGCACCAAAUUCGUGACUUAAAUAUUCUCCACCACGAUCUGAUCGUAAGAACUUUAUUCUCCUGUCACGUUGAUUCUCAACCUCACUCUGAAAUUCCUUGAACUUUUCAAAGGUUUCAGACUUGUGUUUCAUUAGGUAGACAUACCCAUAUCUACUUAAGUCAUCAGUGAGAGUGAGAACAUAAUGAUAUCCUCCGCGAGCCUCAACACUCAUUGGACCGCACACAUCGGUAUGUAUGAUUUCCAAUAAGUUGGUUGCUCGCUCCAUUGUUCCGGAGAACGGAGUCUUGGUCAUCUUACCCAUGAGGCAUGGUUCGCACGUGUCAAAUGAUUCGUAAUCAAGAGACUCCAAAAGUCCAUCUGCAUGGAGCUGCUUCAUGCGCUUGACACCAAUGUGACCAAGGCGGCAGUGCCACAAGUAUGUGGGACUAUCGUUAUCAACUUUACAUCUUUUGGUAUUCACACUAUGAAUAUGUGUAACAUCAUGUUCGAGAUUCAUCAAGAAUAAACCAUUAACCAGCGGGGCAUGACCAUAAAACAUAUCUCUCAUAUAAAUAGAACAACCAUUAUUCUCGGAUUUAAAUGAGUAGCCAUCUCGAAUUAAACGAGAUCCAGAUACAAUGUUCAUGCUCAAAGCUGGCACUAAAUAACAAUUAUUGAGGUUUAAAACUAAUCCCGUAGGUAGAUGCAGAGGUAGCGUGCCGACGGCGAUCACAUCGACCUUGGAACCAUUCCCGACGCGCAUCGUCACCUCGUCCUUCGCCAGUCUCCGUUUAUUCCGUAGUUCCUGUUUUGAGUUACAAAUAUGAGCAACCGCACCGGUAUAAAAUACCCAGGAGCUACUACGAGUACUGGUAAGGUACACAUCAAUUACAUGUAUAUCACUAUACCUUUGGUGUUGCCGGCCUUCUUGUCCGCUAAGUAUUUGGGGCAGUUCCGCUUCCAGUGACCACUUCCCUUGCAAUAAAAGCACUCAGUCUCAGGCUUGGGUCCAUUCUUCGACUUCUUCCCAGUAACUGGCUUACCGGACGCGGCAACUCCCUUGCCGUCCUUCUUGAAGUUCUUCUUACCCUUGCCCUUCUUGAACUUAGUGGUUUUAUUCACCAUCAACACUUGAUGUUCUUUUCUGAUCUCCACCUCCGCUGAUUUCAGCAUUGAAUAUACCUCAGGAAUGAUCAUUUCCAUCCCCUGCAUAUUGAAGUUCAUCACAAAGCUCUUGUAGCUUGGUGGAAGCGACUGGAGGAUUCUGUCAAUGACCGCGUCAUCCGGGAGAUUAACUCCCAGCUGGGAUAAGUGGUUGUGUAACCCAGACAUUCUGAGUAUGUGCUCACUAACAGAACUAUUCUCCUCCAUUUUACAGCUGAAGAACUUGUCGGAGACUUCAUAUCUCUCGACCCGGGCAUGAGCUUGGAAAACCAUUUUCAGCUCCCCGAACAUCUCAUAUGCUCCAUGUUUCUCAAAACGCUUUUGGAGACCCGGUUCCAAGCUGUAAAGCAUGCCGCACUGAACGAGGGAGUAAUCAUCAGCACGCUGCUGCCAAGCGUUCAUAACGUCUUGGUUCUCUGGGAUUGGUGCUUCACCUAGCGGUGCUUCUAAGACAUAAUCUUUCUUGGCUGCUAUGAGGAUGAUCCUCAGGUUCCGGACCCAGUCCGUAUAGUUGCUGCCAUCAUCUUUCAGCUUGGUUUUCUCUAGGAACGCGUUGAAAUUGAGGACAACGUGGGCCAUUUGAUCUACAAGACAUAGUGUAAAGAUUUUAGACGAAGUUCAUGAUAAUUAAGUUCAUCUAAUCAAAUUACUCAAUGAACUCCCACUCAGAUAGACAUCCCUCUAGUCAUCUAAGUGAAACAUGAUCCGAGUUAACUAGGCCGUGUCCGAUCAUCACGUGAGACGGACUAGUCAAGAUCGGUGAACAUCUCCAUGUUGAUCGUAUCUUCUAUACGACUCAUGCUCGACCUUUCGGUCCUCCGUGUUCCAAGGCCAUGUCUGUACAUGCUAGGCUCGUCAAGUUAACCUAAGUGUAUUGCAUGUGUUCCGAGGCCAUGUCUGUACAUGCUAGGCUCGUUAACACCCGUUGUAUGCGAACGUUAGAAUCUAUCACACCCGAUCAUCACGUGGUGCUUCGAAACAACGAACCUUCGCAACGGUGCACAGUUAGGGGGAACACUUUCUUGAAAUUAUCAUAAGGGAUCAUCUUACUUACUACCGUCGUUCUAAGCAAAUAAGAUGCAAAAACAUGAUAAACAUCACAUGCAAUCAAAUAGUGACAUGAUAUGGCCAAUACCAUUUUGCUCCUUUGAUCUCCAUCUUCGGGGCACCAUGAUCAUCUUCGUCACCGGCAUGACACCAUGAUCUCCAUCAUCAUGAUCUCCAUCAUUGUGUCUUCAUGAAGUUGUCACGCCAACGGUUACUUCUACUUCUAUGGCUAACACAUUUAGCAAUAAAGUAAAGUAAUUUACAUGGCGUUAUUCAAUGACACGCAGGUCAUACAAAAUAAUAAAGACAACUCCUAUGGCUCCUGCCGGUUGUCAUACUCAUCGACAUGCAAGUCAUGAUUCCUAUUACAAUAAUAUGAUCAAUCUCAUACAUCACAUAUAUCAUUCAUCACAUCUUCUGGCCAUAUCACAUCACAUAGCACAUGCUGCAAAAACAAGUUAGACGUCCUCUAAUUGUUGUUGAAAGUUUUUACGUGGUUUGUAGGUUUCUAGCAAGAACGUUUCUUACCUACGUAUGACCACAACGUGAUUUGCCAAUUUCUAUUUACCCUUCAUAAGGACCCUUUUCAUCGAAUCCGUUCCGACUAAAGUAGGAGAGACAGACACCCGCUAGCCACCUUAUGCAACUAGUGCAUGUCAGUCGGUGGAACCUGUCUCACGUAAGCGUACGUGUAAGGUCGGUUCGGGCCGCUUCAUCCCACAAUGCCGCCGAAACAAGAUAAGACUAGUAGCGGCAAGAAGAAUUGGCAACAUCAACGCCCACAACUGCUUUGUGUUCUACUCGUGCAUAGUAACUACGCAUAGGCCUGGCUCAUGAUGCCACUGUUGGGGAUCGUAGCAGAAUUUUAAAAUUUACCUACGCUCACCAAGAUCCAUCUAUGGAGUAUACUAGCAACGAGGGGAAAGGAGUGCAUCUACAUACCCUUGUAGAUCGCGAGCGGAAGCGUUCCAAUGAACGUUGUUGACAGAGUCGUACUCGCCGUGAUUCAAAUCACCGAUGACCGAGUGCCGAACGGACGGCACCUCCGCGUUCAACACACGUACGGUGCAGCGACGUCUCCUCCUUCUUGAUCCAGCAAGGGGGAAGGAGAGGUUGAUGGAGAUCCAGCAGCACGACGGCGUGGUGGUGGAUGUAGCGGGAUGUCGGCAGGGCUUCGCCGAGCUUCUGCGAGAGAGAGAGGUGUAGCAGGGGAGGAGGGAGGCGCCCAAGGCUAUAGUCCCACUGCCCUCCCUCCCCCCUUUAUAUAGGCCCCCUGGGAGGGGGGGCGCCGGCCAGGAACCCAUCUGGAUGGGGGGGGCGGCGGCCAGGAGGGUAACUUACCCCCCAAGUCAAGUGGGGCGCCCCCCCCUACCCUAGGGUUUCCAACCCUAGGCGCAGGGGGGAGGCCCAUGGGCGGCGCCCCAACCCACUAUGGGUUGGUUCCCUUCCCACUUCAGCCCAUGGGGCCCUCCGGGACAGGUGGCCCCACCCGGUGGACCCCCGGGACCCUUCCGGUGGUCCCGGUACAAUACCGAUAACCCCCGAAACCGGUGGCCGAAACUGGACUUCCUAUAUAUAAUUAUUCACCUCCGGACCAUUCCGGAACUCCUCGUGACGUCCGGGAUCUCAUCCGGGACUCCGAACAACUUUCGGGUUUCCGCAUACUCAUAUCUCUACAACCCUAGCGUCACCGAACCUUAAGUGUGUAGACCCUACGGGUUCGGGAGACAUGCAGACAUGACCGAGACGCCUCUCCGAUCAAUAACCAACAGCGGGAUCUGGAUACCCAUGUUGGCUCCCACAUGUUCCACGAUGAUCUCAUCGGAUAAACCACGAUGUCGAGGAUUCAAUCAAUCCCGUAUACAAUUCCCUUUGUCAAUCGGUAUGUUACUUGCCCGAGAUUCGAUCGUCGGUAUCCCAAUACCUUGUUCAAUCUCGUUACCGGCAAGUCUCUUUACUCGUACCGCAAUGCAUGAUCCCGUGACUAACGCCUUAGUCACAUUGAGCUCAUUAUGAUGAUGCAUUACCGAGUGGGCCCAGAGAUACCUCUCCGUCACACGGAGUGACAAAUCCCAGUCUCAAUCCGUGCCAACCCAACAGACACUUUCGGAGAUACCCGCAGUGUACCUUUAUAGUCACCCAGUUACGUUGUGACGUUUGGCACACCCAAAGCACUCCUACGGUAUCCGGGAGUUGCACGAUCUCAUGGUCUAAGGAAUAGAUACCUGACAUUGGAAAAGCUCUAGCAAACGAAACUACACGAUCUUUUAUGCUAUGCUUAGGAUUGGGUCUUGUCCAUCACAUCAUUCUCCUAAUGAUGUGAUCCCGUUAUCAAUGACAUCCAAUGUCCAUAGUCAGGAAACCGUGACUAUCUGUUGAUCAACGAGCUAGUCAACUAGAGGCUUACUAGGGACACGUUGUGGUCUAUGUAUUCACACAUGUAUUAUGAUUUCCGGAUAAUACAAUUAUAGCAUGAACAAUAGACAAUUAUCAUGAACAAAGAAAUAUAAUAAUAACUAUUUAUUAUUGCCUCUAGGGCAUAUUUCCAACAGCUAUAUGAUGCCGGUUUACAAUAAAACCGUUUCGGGUGGUGAUAAACACCGGUUUAUUCCAUACUGGUGACUUUGAGUCAAACCAGACCGGGCUGAUAGUCGCCGGAUUAUAAUUUGAUCGUGUACUGACAACUUGUAGUUGACAGCCUAACCGGGUUGAUAAACACCGGUUUAAAAAACAUCACAAAUCUUAUGAAAACAAAGAAAACUUAGCAAAAGGCAAAUGAAAACCGUUGUACUCGAGGCUUUUCACGGGCUGCCAGGCCCCAAAGUCGAGGCUUUUCAUGGGCUGCCAGGCCACUGAGUUAAACCAUUUCUGCAAAGCCUUUUAAGAUGGUCCUCAAUCCUUAACCAAUCAUCGUUUUAACUUGACAAGUUCAGGGUCUUCAUUUUAGAGUAACUUGUCAAAGUUCAAAGGGUCAUACCAGGUUUACCUGGGUGGAGUGACUUACUUAAAUAGGUAGGUUAACUCGGGGUUUUAGGUGUAUACACCAGGCUUCCAAGCCAUGGCUUGAUAGCCUGUUACAAGUGUAGAUUCUUAGUUCAUUUCGACAGCAAAGAAUCCCCAAGCAACAUUUUGAGAUGUGCUCAAUGGGUGCCUAUGUUUGAGCUGUUGCUUUACAAUACUCUCUUUGGCCCCGGAUUGAUGUGGCUUUGAGCCGAUCAAGAGGUGUGACUGUCGUUCGGAUACGACCAAGCCCCCAAGUGAUGCUGUGGCAUUGCGCCUGAUCAAGAGGUGUAGCUAUGGUUCAGAUACGACCAAGCCCCCAAGUUAUGCUGUGGCAUUGCGCCGAUCAAGAGGUGUAGCUAUGGUUCGGAUACGACCAAGCCCCCAAGUGAUGUAAUAUAAAGCUUUGAGAAGCUAAAUCAAGGGGUAAACCGGACGCCGCUUUGUAAGCUCCAUGUAACCACACAUGAUGUAAGAAAAACAACAGAUACCCCGCUUUAGCUGAGGUUCCGGUUUAUUAUAUUGAUCAUAAUAUAUACAUUGUCAUAAUAUGUACAUAAGCAGAGCCUGUAGCUCAAGUAUAGUAGGGCCGAAGAUGAGCAAUAUUCCACGGCCGGUUGGUCUCCUCCUCCGAUUUACGUGAGUCUUUGCGCUCUCGAACAUCGAUUAGGUAGUAUGACCCGUUGUGUAGAUUCUUGCUGACCACAAAGGGUCCUUCCCAAGGGGGGAUAGCUUAUGCAUAUCCAUCUGAUCCUGGAUGAGCCGAAGCACCAAAUCGCCUUCUUGAAAGGUUCUGGUUCUAACCCGGCGGCUAUGAUAACGACGCAGAUCUUGCUGAUAAAUCGCCGAACGGGCUGCCGCCAUGUCACGUUCCUCAUCUAACAGGUCAAGAGAUUCCUGCCGUGCUUUAUCGUUGUCAGCUUCAACAUAUGCCGCUACACGAGGCGAGUCAUGACGGAUGUCACUCGAAAGAACUGCUUCCACUCCAUAAACCAUAAAGAAUGGUGUGAUCCUGCCGAUCUGUUGGGUAUGGUAUUGAUGCUCCACAACACAGAAGGUAACCCCUCAACCCAACAACCCGGCGUCCGUUGCAAAGGAACCAUAAGCCGGGGUUUGAUGCCUCUCAAGAUCUCUUGAUUGGCCCUCUUCGCUUGACCAUUGGACCGGGGGUGAGCCACUGAUGAUACAUCAAGCCGGAUGUGCUCACGUUGACAGAACUCCUUCAUGGCACCCUCUGACAGAUUGGUACCAUUGUCUGCUAUAAUGCUGUGUGGAAAGCCAAACCGGAAGAUCACCUUUUUGAUGAAUUGAACCGCCGUGGCUGCAUCACACUUACUAACUGGCUCUGCCUCCACCCACUUCGUGAACUUAUCAACCGCCACGAAGAGGUGGGUCUUCUUGUCCUUGGACCUCUUGAAAGGCCCAACCAUAUCCAGCCCCCAAGUUGCAAACGGGCAAGUGAUUGGAAUCAUCCUCAAUUCUUGAGCUGGUACAUGAGCGUGCCUUGAGAAUUUCUGACAGCCAUCACAUCUUUUGACCAAUUCCUCGGCAUCAGCAUGAGCUGUCAACCAAUAGAAACCGUGACGAAACGCCUUGGCCACCAAAGAUUUUGAACCGGCGUGGUGACCACAAUCUCCUUCGUGGAUCUCACGCAAAAUUUCACGGCCUUCCUCAGGAGACACACAGCGUUGAAACGCCCCUGUCACAUUGCAAUGAUGUAACUCUCCAUUGAUAAUAGUCAUGGACUUGGACCGCCGGAUUAUCUGCCUGGCCAUAGUUUCGUCCUAUGGUAACUCACCCCGGUUCAUAUACGCCAGAUAUGGAACCGUCCAAUCCGGGAUAACAUGAAGAGCCGCCACCAACUGAGCCUCCAGAUCAGGAACAGCCAAAUCCUCUUCACCAGGGAGCUUGACGGACAGAUUAUGCAAAACAUCCAGGAAGACAUUAGGUGGAACUGGUUUACGUUGGGAACCCAGGCGGCUUAAAGCGUCCGCCGCUUCAUUCUUCCACCGGUCCACAUGAUCCACCUGAUAACCUUUAAAGUGACUUGCAACAAUAUCCACCUCACGACGAUACGCUGCCAUUAGUGGGUCCUUGGAAUCCCAAGUGCCGGACACUUGUUGAGCCACCAGAUCCGAGUCACCGAAGCACAUAACUCGGCUUAGGUUCCUCUCCUUAGCCAUCCGAAGACCAUGGAGUAAAGCCUCAUAUUCAGCUGCAUUGUUAGUACAAGGGAACACCUCAUGGGGAAAUUAAUACGACUCUAGCCCCCGAGCCCUCCAAUUGCCUGGACCCAUCAAAAUGAAUAGUCCAAUAAGUAUGAUCCGGCUUCUCCUCUGGCGCUUGUAAUUCUGUCCAAUCAUUGAUGAAAUCCACAAGUGCCUGAGAUUUGAUCGUCGUUCGGGGUAUGUAUUUCAACCCGUGAGGCCCGAGCUCUAUAUCCCACUUAGCAAUCCGGCCAGUUGCUUCCCUGUUCUGGAUUAUAUCUCCCAACGGAGUAGAGCUGACCACCGUGAUGGGAUGACCUUGGAAAUACUGCUUAAGCUUCCGGCUUGCCAUAAAAACCCCAUACACCAACUUUUGCCAAUGCAGGUACCUCUGCUUGGACUCAAUAAGUACCUCACUGAUAUAGUAGACCGGCCGUUGAACUGGAUAUUCCUUUCCGGCCUCCUUGCCUCCACCACAAUAGCCACACUAACAGCCCGGGCGUGAGCUGCCACAUAUAGCAACAAUGGCGCUUUGUCAACCGGAGCAGCGAGAACCGGAGGAUUAGCCAGCUGCCGCUUUAAGUCCUCAAAUGCUUCAUUAACGGCGUCACUCCAGACGAAGUUAUCCGUUUUCUUCAGCAUCCGAUACAAAGGAAUGGCCUUCUCGCCAAGGCGACUGAUAAACCGGCUCAACGCGGCAAUCCGUCCUGCCAGGCGUUGAACAUCAUUGAUACACUUCGGUUUGGCCAAGGAGGUGAUGGCCUUGAUCUUUUCCGAAUUAGCUUCAAUACCCCGGUUAGACACCAAAAAACCCAAGAGCUUGCCUGCAGGUACACCAAAGACGCACUUGGCCAGAUUAAGCAUCAUUUUGUAAACCCGCGGGUUAUCGAAGGUUUCCUUCAAGUCAUCAAUCAAUGUCUCCUUCUUCCUUGAUUUCACCACAAUAUCAUCCACAUAGGCGUGAACAUUGCGGCCGAUCUGUUUAUGAAGACAAUUCUGCACACACCGUUGAUAAGUCGCCUGGGCACUCUUGAGCCCAAAGGGCAUGGACACAUAGCAGAAGGCUCCAAAGGGAGUUAUGAAGGUUGUCUUCUCCUGGUCCUUAACUGCCAUUUUGAUCUGAUGAUAACCAGAAUAUGCAUCCAAAAAGCUCAAACGCUCGCAACCCACCGUAUCAUCAAUAAUUUGAUCAAUACGAGGGAGGGCAAAAGGAUCUGCUGGACAAGCUUUGUUAAGGUCUGUGUAGUCCACACACAUACGCCAAGUGCUGUUCUUUUUAAGGACCAGCACCGGAUUAGCCAACCACUCAGGAUGGAAUACUUCAACGAUAAAUCCAGCCACCAAGAGCCUGGCUACUUCUUCUUCAAUAGCUUUGCGUCUUUCUUCAUUGAACCGCCGGAGAAACUGCUUGACCGGUUUAUACUUGGGAUCAACAUUGAGAGUGUGCUCAGCGAGUUCUCUCGGUACACCUGGCAUGUCAGAAGGCUUCCAUGCAAAGAUGUUCCGAUUCUCACGGAUGAACUCGAUGAGCACGCUUUCCUAUUUCGGAUCCAAGUUAGCGCUGAUGCUAAACUGCUUGGACGAAUCGCCAGGCACGAAGUCAACAAGCUUAGUCUCAUCAGCCGAUUUAAACUUCAGGGCCGGAUCAUGCUCUGUAGUUGGUUUCUUCAACGAAGUCAUAUCUGCCGGAUCAACAUUGUCCUUGUAAAACUUCAACUCUUCUGUCGCACAAACCGACUCAGCAUAAGCCGCAUCACCUUCUUCACACUCCAGAGCAAUCUUGCGGCUCCCAUGCAUGGUUAUAGUUCCCUUGUGACCCGGCAUCUUGAGCUGCAGAUAGACAUAACAAGGCUGUGCCAUAAACUUAACAUAAGCUGGCCGUCCAAAUAGGGCAUGAUACGGGCUUCUGAUUUUCACCACUUCAAAGGUCAAGGUUUCUGAUCUCGAGUCAUGCUCAUCUCCAAAAGCCACCUCUAGAGCUAUCUUACCAACAGGAUAUGCCGACUUACCAGGCACCACACCAUGGAACACCGUAUUGGACGGUUUAAGAUUUUUAUCUGUUAACCCCAUGCGACGGAAAGUUUCAUAAUAAAGGAUAUUGAUACUACUCCCUCCAUCCAUGAGUACCUUAGUGAACUUAUAACCUCCCACCUGAGGUGCCACCACCAGAGCUAGAUGACCCGGAUUGUCAACCCAGGGUGGAUGAUCUUCUCUACUCCACACAAUCGGCUGCUCGGACCAGCGCAAAUAACGGGGCACCGCCGGUUCAACGGCAUUCACCGCCCUUUUAUGAAGCUUCUGAUCGCGCUUGUCCAAGCUAGUGGUGAAGACAUGAUACUGUCCGCUAUUCAACUGCUUCGGGUUGCUCUGGUAACCCGACUGCUGCUGCUCCUCCUGAUUGCCCUGAUGAUUAUAGCCACCUUGGUUACCCUGAUUACUUUGAUUGUUAUGUCCACCCUGAUUGCCGUGGAAGCCUGAACCGGAAUUUCCUCCACCAUAACCUGGCCCAUGAGACCCGGGGCCCGAACCGCCUCCUGGUCCAUGAUCAUACCGGAAAGAAUCAGAACUUUUAAACUCUUGCAUGAUGUAACAAUCUUUCGAGAGGUGCGUGGACGGGAUCUCCUUCGUCCCAUGCUUCGGACAGGGCUGGUUCAACAAAUAAGACAAACGGUCCGGAUUAGGACUUGGCCCUCCACCGCGCUGGGGCGGUUUACCCUUACACCGCUGGCCCUUGUCAUGUGUAUUAGUAUUAGCCACAAAGUCUAAACCGUGGUCCGCCUUACACUUGCCGCCGUUUCCAUGACCCGCCGGGUUGUGGCGCUGCCCCUUGGCGUUGCCGCUCUUUUUUCCCUUCCCUGUCUUAUCAUCGUCAGACUCAGGAUCCUUGGUACUAUCAGAGUCGGCAUACUUCACCAGUGCAGCCAUGAGGGUUCCCAUGUCAUUACAAUGACGUUUGAGCCGUCCCAACUUCAACAUCAGGGGUUCAAACCGGCAAUUGCCCUCCAAUGUUAAAAUUGCGGUGUCAGCGUUGAUGCGGUCCGAUGAAUGCAAAAUCUCCGAGACCCGGCGCACCCAAUGGGUUGUUGACUCUCUUUCCUCCUGGACACAGGCAGCUAAGUCCACAAUUGACAUGGGCUGCUUGCAUGUAUCCUUGAAAUUCUGAAUAAACUAGGCUCUCAACUCGGCCCAUGACCUGAUAGAAUUAGCCGGUAAGCUCUUUAGCCAAGUGCGGACCGUCCCUUCUAGCAUCAUGGUGAAGUAUUUCGCACACGCCGCAUCAUCCACAUCCAGCAUCUCCAUGGCCAUCUCAUAGCUUUCGACCCAUGUUUCAGGGGAUAAAUCGGCGGUGUAAUUCGGCACCUUGCGCGGGCCCUUGAAAUCCUUGGGCAGGCGCACAUUGUGCAACGUCGGGACGAGACACGGCACUCCCAAAGAACUAGAGGUAACCCCUGGUUCCACCGAUGUGGUUGGACAAACCGGAGUAAGUUGACGGGCUUCAUGCUGCGCCGCUAACUCGGCCUCUCUGCGUGCCCGAGCCCGGUCCACCACCUCCUGAGCAUCACCAGCACCACCCGCCGGGUUAUUGCCACGGGGCGGAUCACGGUUCCGCGCAUUGCUUGACACUGCCGGUUCAUCCAUAUGCCUGCUGUAACUCCGGCUUGGACGGGGAGUGGAAUGAAUCCGAUCGCGACUAUAUGAAUAAGCCUCCUGUUGAACCAAGGCUGUCUGAAGAAGCUCCUUAACCCGACGCGUCUCGACCGCCGCCGGAGAAUCGCCUUCGAUCGGGAUGGCCGCCAGCCGUGAAGCGGCAGCGACAAUGUUGUCCAUUGGGUUAGAGUAAUGACCCGGUGGCGUGGGGACAUGCGGUGUUACAAUGUUGUUCUGACGAGGCGGAUCCAUCAAACGUGGCUGAACCGGCGCCUCUGCUCCAGGUGCCUCCGCCCGGUUUACCACCGGCGGAUUACUGGUCCCUGCUCCUGGGGUGUUAAAGAGAUUUCUAGCGUCAUAAACCAGCGGCAGGCGAGAUCUGUACCUCCUCUUCAGGACUUCGUCCGACGCACUCUGAUCCAGCAUAAUCCGGUAAGCUUGUGCAUCCAAAGCGGCCCGCUCCACGGCCAUCCUGGUAUCCUCAGCUGCUAAGUCGGCUUUGGCCCGGGUGAUCUGAUCUUUCACUUUCACGAUUUCCGCAUUGUGUGCAUCCUGAUCCGCCGGGUUAACCUCCGCCAUCAGUGUUGCCAACGCGUCAAACAAAUCUGAUAGAACCUGAGCUGGCGGUCGCACAGGGCCUCCUGCCCCGGCCGCGGUUGCCGCUGUCGAUCCGGAAAUCAUCGCCGCUGCGGUCGAAGAGUGGAGCGCCGGUUGUGUUUCGGCCAUGAAGAUCGCAACCCGGUUUGGCAGAUCAAAGGGGUCCGGAAUACUAUCGCCAUCGGAACAGCCCCCAAUCCGACAAUCUUGUAACUGAUAUAACGACUCGGUCUCUCCGGUCGAUGACUCGUCGCCGGAAUAAACGACGGUCUCACCACCAGAUUCCGAUCUAUCCUCUGAUUCCCCUCCACGGAUAACUCCCACGAAGGCAUGCUUCAUGACAGGCUUCACCCGGGCAGAUCUCGCACGCUGAGCCGUUUCGACGAGGUCGGUGCAGAUGUCCGGCUCAGGGCCCAGUUCGCCAAUCUUGCCAAUGAAAACGUGUAUGCCGCCAAAGGGGACCCGGUACCCGUACUCGAUUGAGCCGGCCUCGGGCCCCCAGCCUGCAUCGUCGAUGUAGAGCUUGCCGUGACGACUCUUGGUCAUCCGGCCCACAGCGUAACCCUUGAGUCCUUCGAAGUUGCCCUCCAAGAACUUGAAACCAUCGUGUGAUAGCCCCACGGUGGGCGCCAACUGUCGUGGUUUUGUCACGGCAGAUGUCCUAGAGAAAGGACUUAGUCGUGGAGCCAUCACUACGGGUUAACUUAAAGGGCUUAAAGCGGACAAGGGACGCAAGAGAGUUUUAUACUAGUUCGGCCCCUUACGAUGAAGGUAAAAGCCUACGUCUAGUUGUGAUGGAAUUGCUGGGGUUUCGAUGACCAAGGAGCGAAUACGCUAUGCCUGAGUCUCGAGUUGUUGUCUGUUGUCCUUGAACCGCCGCCGGGUCGUCCCCUUAUAUACAUGGGUUGACGCCCGUCAGUUUACAGAAUCCCGAGGCCGGCUCAUAAUCGUGUCCGGCUCGGUCUCUGCUACUUCUAUCUUACAACACAAGUCUACAUAUCAACACCGGUUUAUGUCUACGGGCCUUAAACCGGCUUUGGGCCCUGGGCCUCCAUAAAGCGUCACCAUCUGUCUUCAUGGACUUCAGAUACAGAGGAACUACUUAUGGGGUUAACCCGGCCUCUCCUGGCCGGUUUACGCCCAGUAGUAAUAUCCCCAACAGGAACCGAACCAGGCUGUAGAGGAAGCAAAAUCACAUAGGUCAGAUUAGCUCAUCUUAUUCCAUUGAUUUGCACCCCCCCCCCUCCCCCAAAGACCUCCCUAUUCCCCAUCCUGUAUAAGAACCCGGUUGUUUUCUUUCCGUUUCUUGCAUCUCUAGGCUGCACCUGCGAAAAAUGUGUAAAACCACCUACUGUGGUUAUUUUGAGAACAAAAACAAAAUGUGUUAGAAACUCUUUGGAGGUAAAUUGUGUUACAAACUUCAUCUAUAGCUUAGAAGUACAGGAAACUCUUUACUUCUUUACUUAAUAAAAUAUUUAAUUAAUGAUAAUUAUCACAUUGGCCAUAUGAAGUAAAUUGAAAAUCAUGCAAAAAUGUAUUGUGGCGAAUAAGGCAACUUCAAUCUGCCAUGGGAUAAUGUUAUUAGUGUGAUUUGAAAACCUGUGAUGAUUAUUUUGAACUGAAGGAAAAAAGUGUGACAUGGAACAUGAAUACGAUGUCACGAUGAAAAAGCAUGCAACCUUCUAUCUCCCGUACAACUUGGCAAAAAUCACAUGUAAAUUACAUGCUAAGCAUUUAAAUUUUAAUCUUACUUCACUAUAUUUGAACAUAUUUUAUAGGGUUUUGGUUAGGCCAAUGAACUGUGGGCACCGUGCGGCGAGAUGCAAUUUUAUUCUCUAUUUUUGCUGCGAGAUGCAAAUGGCCUGUUCAGGGCAGCAACAACGAACUUUUCUAAAAAAAGAGGCCGGCGUCCGGUUUUAAAUUAAUGAAGCCCAUCAUGCUCCAAGCUUCAUGAACCAUGGGAGAAUAUCAUACGGAAACCAAUAUUCCAUGAAAGGAAAUCAUAUUUUAAAGUUUCGAAAAAAUCUGAAAAAAAAUACAGGAUGUUAAGAGGGUGAUGUUUUAUUGUCACGCAAAAUUUCAAGUUGAAACACAUUACAAGAUGUGAGCUAUGAAAAAAAUUAGCCCUGAAUAAUGACAUUACUGUUCGGCACUAUUCAACACUGAUUUUCUCUUUUUCAUAGUCACAUCUCGUAACGUGUUUCAACUUGAAAUUUUGUGUGGUGAUAAACCAUCAUCCUCUUAACAUCCCGUAUUUUUUUUCAGAUUUUUUUAAAAGUUCAAAACAUCUUAUUUUUUUGAUUUUAACCGGUUUCCACCGAAUGUUAGUUUUCGUAUAAUAUUCUCUCCAUGAACUAUGGGGAUGGCGCCGGGCCCGGGGGCUCACGGCUCUUAUUAUUCGAAAUCAAGGAAAGUACUGGAUGGCUGAUCUUGGAGUUCGACCGUCAAGCUAUUGUCAAUUCUUGGAGGAUCGUGCCUAUACUAGUCGUACAUGGUUUGUUUGUUGCUCGUAGACAUUUGCAGCGCUCACUUGGCAGUCCUCAGUCCUACUAUAGGGCCAAUGGCGAGGUGAUGUGCACAGCUGCACAUGGUAGCAGUAAAAACCGAGCUAUGUGUGCAUCAUUGCUAUCCUUUCUGGAAGGAUAGGGACAAGUGAAAGCAUGAUGGCAUGGUGCAUCACAAAAAGCAGCGGGUCUGAAUUCCACAGUCUCACGCACACUUCUAGACGCGAGGGCCAAAUUGGCAACUCUAAACAGACUUUGAACUUCGAUCUGAUAAUAAGCAGCGGAUCAGGAUUCCACACUACCUCACACACACUUCUGGACGCGAGGGCCAAAUUGGCAACUUUAAGAGCAACUCUAAGAACCCAUUUUAUCUGCGUGUGUCCGUUUGAAUCGCCGUGGACAGAAAAGUUGACCCAACGCGCCGUUUCAAACGGACGCGCGUCCGAUUUUCGUCCUCUGGGUGAUCCAAUCCUAGACCAAAUUUGGAACUUAUUUGCCUCGGCGUGGACACGAUGCGGACGCGUGACUCCCGGCUACUCCUUCCCUAGCCCGCAGUCGGUGACACAUAGGCCAUUCUCUUCCACCCCCAUCGGCAGCAAACCCUCGCCCUCCCAAUCUCGUCGUCGCCGCCGCCCAGUUUCGGUGCCCCUGCCAGCAGUCCGCGCCCAGACACCUCCCCCGCACACUGCCACCUCCCACAUCGCCACCACCACCGCNNNNNNNNNNNNNNNNNNNNNNNNNNNNNNNNNNNNNNNNNNNNNNNNNNNNNNNNNNNNNNNNNNNNNNNNNNNNNNNNNNNNNNNNNNNNNNNNNNNNNNNNNNNNNNNNNNNNNNNNNNNNNNNNNNNNNNNNNNNNNNNNNNNNNNNNNNNNNNNNNNNNNNNNNNNNNNNNNNNNNNNNNNNNNNNNNNNNNNNNNNNNNNNNNNNNNNNNNNNNNNNNNNNNNNNNNNNNNNNNNNNNNNNNNNNNNNNNNNNNNNNNNNNNNNNNNNNNNNNNNNNNNNNNNNNNNNNNNNNNNNNNNNNNNNNNNNNNNNNNNNNNNNNNNNNNNNNNNNNNNNNNNNNNNNNNNNNNNNNNNNNNNNNNNNNNNNNNNNNNNNNNNNNNNNNNNNNNNNNNNNNNNNNNNNNNNNNNNNNNNNNNNNNNNNNNNNNNNNNNNNNNNNNNNNNNNNNNNNNNNNNNNNNNGAGCACAAAGUCGCCCCCCGCGCCCCCAGUGUCAAGCUACAGUAAUCUCCCCCUAAUGGUGCCAUGUCAUCACAUUACUGCUGCUAAUCCUCACUUGAUCCCAAUCACAAUUCAAAUUCAAAUCCAAAUUUAAAGUCGAAUAAUUAGAUUUCCCAAACAUGAAAACUAAAAUGUUCAAAGUGUUGCAAAUAAUCCAUAACUAAUUACGAUGGUGAACCAAUAUUUUUAUAAAGUGUUUAAAUGCCUUAUAAUAAUUAAAAAGUGGCUUAAAUGAUAAAUUAAAUGCUUUUUAAAUUAUAAAAAUACUAAUAUAUUUUUAUCUAGGUGCCAAACUUUUGUGGCAGUAGCCUAAGUCAAAAUAUUAAUUUAGGUGCAAGUGUUAUAUUUUGCAAAACUAAAUUUGUUUUAAAAAGAAAUAGAAAACAAAAUCAAAUAAAAGAAAAUUUUAAAAGGAAAACAGAAAUGGAAAAAGAAUAGAAAAAGGGGGCCACACGACACUGUGCGCGCGGCCCAGCCGCGGUAACAAUGCCCUGGCCCAGCCCACUCGCGCCUCGUCGUCCUCCCCUGUUCACCCCGCGCGGUGGUAGUCCGAGGCGCGUCCGUGGCUGCGGAUGGCCACGUGCAGGACAUCCGGCGGCUCCCCGGCGACCUCAAGACGACGGCCACCCUCCCUGGCAACCUAACCCUAGACGCCCCCGAGUUCUCCCCUCUCGCCCAGAUCACCUUUCCCCGCGCACCUCCGACGCCACUGCCGUCGUCGCCCUCGCGGCCACCGUCCUCCCCACGCCCCGCCCCGCCCGACGUGCCCGUUAGCUUUCACCGCCAUCCCCUACACCACCUGCCACCCCGAGUUGGAGCUCGGAGCCCCUGCAGUAGCCGGGACGACCUCAUGUUCCUCCUCGGCCACCUCGGAUUGCCGCCGCUCGUUAGUCGUCAUCGAGCCUUCCCCGCGCCCGCUUAGCAUGUCUGCAGGCCUCCUGUGAGCAUCUUUCCCCUUCCCCUCACUCCACGCGCUCGAUUGCGAGCUCUAGCAACCGAUCCGCCGUCGACCGAAAUGCUCCGCCGCACGCGCUCAUCUCCGACAAGGCUCCGGUGGUCCAUUGGUCCCGUGUGUGCCUCCAUUCGCUUACUGACCUCGAGUAGGUGCCGAACACCGGUCAUUUUGCCCUCUGCAACGUUGUUCCCGAGCUCGAGCGAACUCCGGCAUCCGCCGCGGUUGAAAAGAGGAAUUCUUAAAAGUAUUUUGGAACAUCGAUUUUUUUGUCCAGACCUCCAUAAAUGUGUUUUUCAUCAUGAAACUUUGCAUGUUGGCAAAACAUUCGACAACCUUUAUCACAAAAUAAAAUAGAUUUUUUUGAAAUCGUUUUAUAUUUUCAUAAUUUUCUGUUCAUAUGAACCUGGGAUCAGAACAACAACACUUGCGGUCUUCUUUCGCUUUUCAUUUUAUAUAUAAGCAUUGGGAUUGCAUUCCAUGUUUUAAUUCCAAGUUAUCUAACUUACAUCCACCUUGGAUACGGAAGCAUGAACUUAAAACAAAACAAGCUCAGAGACGUUAAGACUAGUCCGGGGCCAUAUAGGCAAAUAAGUUUUCCGAGAGAUCAAUGAAGCACUUAUUUUCUAAGAAAUGUAAAUUUAGUAUAAGUAUGUAUUUUUCCCACAAAAAAGUACUAAUAUGUACUACUCCCUUCGUUCUUAAAUAUUUAUCUUUUUAGAUACUAGCACAUAUGCCCGUGCGUUGCAACGGGAGAUGUACUUGACGUGUUCAUCAAAAAGUUUAAUAUCACGCUACGACAACAUUCAGGCGAUCCAACCCGGCGGCAGCAAAGAGGCGGAGGCCAAGGUUUAGCACAAAUAUAUACCAGCCUCACAUUAAGAAUCAUAUAUACGAUACUUUGUGUUAUGAUUUGUGUAUGACAAGUCCAAUCAUAUUAUCCAUAAUAAUCAAAAUGUAGCAGAACCAUUAGAUUAUUUAAGGGUCGUACUCGCUCCAUCUUGCAUGCUUCGUUGGGCGUUAAUUCCUUCACUCCUCGCAAUUUUCUUCUUCUUAAUAGUUAUUACUCCCUCCGUUCCUAAAUGUAAGUCUUUGUAGAGAUUCCACUAUAAACCGCAUACGGAUGUAUAUAGAUGCAUUUUAAGUUUAGAUUCAUUCAUUUUGCUUCGUACGUAGUCCACCUAGUGGAAUCUCUACAAAGACUUAUAUUUAGGAACGGAGGGAGUAUAUUAUAGCACACUCAUGCGUUGUAACGCAAGAUAAACUGGCAUAUACUCAAAUUUAUGCGCUCGCGAGGGAUGAGGCUUCCCUGACGUACUGCAUGGUGCAGUUGGCCCACUGACUGGUAGGCCCGGCAGCAGUUUGGCCCACAUGUCAAUGACCUGACUGACCCUACAGUACAUCAGGAGAGCUGAGUCCGCUCGCGAGACUUUUGAAAUGUCGUCUCCUUGAAUUAUCCUUUAAUUAUGUUGAAACAGAAGCUAUGUCGUCCCCUAUUGCAACGCAUUAUAGUAACAAAUGUACCCGUGCCUUGCAAUGAGGGAAACAAAAGCUUGAAUGUCCGUAUCAUCCAUGUUAUCAAUUCUAAGCUUUGGUACCAUCACAAAUGGUGGCCAACUUAUCCAUCUAUUCAACACCGGUCUCUGUUAUACUUGAUCCAUGCAUUGUCCGAACUAAAUCACCAAUUACCGUGAGUAGUUAAACGGCUCAACUUAUAAAUAGUGAAGGAAGUCAAGGCCCUCCUGGUGAAUGGAUGAUGAACCUUGUUAAGAUUCGUCAUAGUAAAAAAUUUGCUAGCCACGUUAAGGCUGUAGCAGGUAGACAACGCAUGGCCUAUUGGUUGUGAAUUUUUGAAUUCUUCUUUGAAUGUUACGAAAGUUAUACAACAAUGUGACCAGUUGAUAAAAUUCUAGUUUCCACACGAAACCCGAAAACUUUGCGAGCGCGAAUGUGAUCUCCAUGCUAGGUAUGUGAUUGACACAACGAGCGAGAUGGGGUGCCUGGUAUCAGAUAAGUCAUCCGUAGCCAUCCAUUAUUCUGACCUCUAUCUCGAUGGUGUCAGCCCGAACGGGCGGAGCCCGACCGUAGUUGAAACAGGUGUCCUGCACCACGGUCUCUUUGACAUCCAACGUGAUAGAGUUGGAUAGUAGACACCCGCAAUUUUUUGUCAAAAGAGUUGAGUCCAUAUGUAUUAUAUGUGUCUUUUUUGGGGGAAAUUAUAUGUAUUUUAUCAAUAAUAUGCAAAUAAACCAACAAAAUUUUAUUUGCUCGAGAAGUGGUCCGAGAAUUAACAUAAUCGGAAUAUUCUUUAGUCAGUAUGAUAUGAGAAAAUCAAGUACCGUCGAGUGAAAAAUCACACAAUCUCUACUACUAUUAAACAAGCAAACAUAUUCAUCGCUAAGUACACCCAGCCUAACGUACACAUAACAAACGAAGCGGUUACAGCCUCACAAUCAGAACCAUUUUAAUUUGAUCUAACCAUUAAAUUAUACUAACCCUCAACGAGAAUUGCAUUUAGCAAUUUGCGUAAGCGGACGAAAACUCUGCCGAACCAACGUUCUGCGCUCCACACCAAUACAUCGCUUCGCUAAUCCAAGGAAAAAAAACACAACCUGAUUUGCAAACAGAUACUACCUGAUUGCAUGCUAGCGAUGCGGGGCGGCGGCGACGGCUCGAUGCAGGGAGGCGUGGGCUCCGGCGGAGUUAAUUGCAAGGCACUACCACACUUCGGCACGUUGUGACGAAUCAGUACCAGUAGUCAUUUUUUUGCCAUGUAAUGCCAACUCUAAGCCUAAGUGUUGCAAAACGGUCUGACAGCCGUAUAAGCUCGUAUUGACCACAUAUCUGACCGAUCGGGCCCACUUGUCAGGUGCCACGGUGGCCUACCCGCGCGCACCCGCACCCGCGCGGUCACUCGUCCCAGCCUGCUCGGUCGCACCAAGUAGCUUGGUCCGGUCCGGUCGAACCCGUACGCGACGAACCCUGGUUUCCUCUUCCUCCCCCCGCCCUCGUCUUCCUCUCCCCUCUCAGGCGAUGGCGGCGGCGACUCCCGGCGGCGUCGACGGCGCGGGCGGGUACGGGGACCUUCCUGGCCUCGCCCCGAUGACCACUUAGGUCUGGACGACGUCGACGGCUCCAAUUCAUACUACUCCAGCGCAGACGACGAGGAUUUGGAGGAGGAGGCCGCGCUGUCAAUGGAGGACAGGGUGAAGCUGGCAGAGAUAUGGGUGGCCCACCCUACCAGUAGCCAUCAGUGGACCAGUGGAGCUGCUGGCGGCGUGCUGUAAGUCGUUCUCUUCUCUGCUUCUGCUUCUUUCUGUAUAUUCCAAAACAGGGUGCUAGGGUUAGUGUUGCUCAUGACAGUAUAAAUUUGUGCUGUCAAUUGUAGUUUGGAUGAUGCUGUUUGGGAUGUUCGGAUUCAUUUUGAUGCACAACACAAUCUGGAUAGGAAGAUAUGCAGUUCAGAUGUUACAUUUCUGAAUUUAUAUGCACUGAUGCACACACAAGGUUAUUCUUUCUCUGAUGAACUGUAUCACAUGAAGAAUUUAGGCAGAGGAGAGGAAAGAGAGCAUGGGUUAGAGUUAAUUGACACAAACAUCAAACUGCAGCAACUUAAGAAGGAAUAUGAGCAUAGUUUAGUUCUGAAUUUGCUAGUGAAGGCAACAUCACCUUUUGUAUGUCAGAUAGAAGCAGAUUUAGUGAGAUCAAACUACAGCAAUAUCUGUCAGAGGAGAGAAGAAAAUUUAGCAACUAUAUUGUAUAGACCACCUGUUGUGUAUGAUCUUAGUGAGCCUGCAGUUCUUGCUGUUGAUCAACAAGGUGUUGUUUUUCAUAGUCAGUGCACACAAGAGAGCAUAAAUUUCAGUAAGGAGAAGCUCAAAGCUGUAAUGGAAGAAGAGGCAGUGCUAGAGGAGGGACAUAAUAACAGUGAUGACUCUGAGGCUGCUGCAUAUGACAGUGAUAACAAUCCUUUCUGCAUGGAGAAGUACAGGAUAAUUGAAGACACAGAGAUAAUUGAGGGGAAUAGACUAGCAGAGCAAGAAGUUGAAGAUGAAGAUUCAGAUGAAGAUGAUGAGGAUUCAGAAGAGGAACAAUUACAUUAUGAGGGUGACACUGAGGUUGAGGACUUGUUUAAGAUGGAGGAGGAGGAGGAGCAGGAGAAGGAGAAAGAGGAUGAGGUCAAUGUUGUUGCAACAGAAGAAGCACCAAUGCAAAAACCUCCAAAAAAGAGGAAGAAGCUGGCAGUUAGGAGGGCCCUACUACUAGGACACAUUCAAGUGUGUUGGCGGAGGUGCAACCUGAUUUCAUUCCUUCAUCAGAUGAAGAAGAUGAUGGGUUGCUGUUUGAGGAUGAUGAUGAUGGACAUGAGCCAAUGUCCUUUGUUCUACCUAAAGGGAGGAAGAGUAAGGCCAAGAAAAGGAAACCAAGGAUCUGGUACAAUGAAAAACUUGAGCAACCACAUCAGCAGUUAUGUCUGUACAUGUGCUUCAAGAAUCAGCAUCAAUUCAGAGAUGCUUUCUUGAGCUUGCACAUCACACAGGCCAGAGACUUCAGGUAUCACAGGAAUUCAGACCAAAGGAUCAUUGCUUGUUGUAAGCAAGAGCACUGCCAGUUUUGCAUAGUUGCUGCAGUUAUCAAAGGGGAGAAGACUUUUGCUAUUAAGAAAAUGAGGCUGGAGCACACUUGCCCUAGCAGCACUGAGUCAUCAAGGAUCAGUGCCAAGUGGCUUGCAAAGACCUAUGAGUCAUUGUUCAGGUCUGAUCCAACCACCAGCAUACACACUCUAAUUGAUAACUGCAAUGAGAAGUAUGGUGUUGAUGUGCCAAGGCACAUGGCCUAUAGGGCCAAAAACCUUGCUGUAGAAGCUGUGCUAGGAGAGCACAAGAUUCAGUAUCCCGGACUUAGGGAUUAUGCUCAGACCAUCAUGGAUACAAACCCUGGUAGUAGAGUUAUAGUUGCAACAGUUACUCCAAGACCAACUACAAAAAUACCACAUCCAGGACCAAGGUUUCAUGCUAUGUUCUUCUGCAUAAAUGGAGCAAGGGAGGGAUUUCUCAAUGGAUGCAGACCAUUCAUUGGUUAGUAAUGCUUUAUACUUCUUUCUCAAUGGAUGUAGUGGUGCUUUAUAGUUCUUAAUACUUAAAUAUAUAGUUUAGUAAUGCUUUGUAGAAGUUUAAAUUGUUCUUUGGUUGCAACAACAGGUGUUGAUGGAUGCUUUAUUAAGCUCACCACCGGUGCUCAAAUCCUAGCUGCCACUGGAAGAGAUGGGAAUAAUAAUAUUUUCCCACUUGCAUUUGCUGUUGUUGGACAAGAGGACACAGCUAACUGGUGUUGGUUUCUACACCAACUGAAGAUAUGUCUAGGAGGAGAAGUUGGCAAAUUUGGGCCUUAUACUAUCAUGUCUGAUAGACAGAAGGUAUGCAUGCAUCUUUCUGUUAUGUUAUUGCUUUUGUGUUCUUCUGCAUUAGCACGUUAUGUUCUAGAUGUAAUAGUACAUCAGCUAAGUCUAGCAUGCUAUGUGAACAGGGGUUACUAAAUGCAGUAAACCAAGUUUUUCCAAACUGUCAUCAAAGAUUUUGCCUUAGACACCUCUAUGCAAAUUUCCAGAAUGCUGGGUUUAGGGGGGAAGAUCUUAAGAAAUGCAUGGAUAAUGCCAGCUAUGCUUACAACCAGCACAAGUUUAACAUUGCCAUGAAUGACUUGAAAAAUGAUAGUGAGGAAGCUUGGAAGUGGCUAAGUGGAAUACCUAAGCACACAUGGGCUAGGCAUGCUUUUGACACUAACUGCAAGAUAGACUUGGUUGUUAACAACCUGUCUGAGGUGUUCAACAAGUACAUCCUAGAUUUUAGGAAAAAACCUAUUAGGACUAUGAUUGAUGGUAUCAAGGAUAAGCAGAUGGUGAGGUGGCAUAAUAACAGAGAGAGGGGAGAGGCAUCUUUGUGGGAGAUCACACCACAUUAUGCUGAGAAGCUUGAGGUGGAAAAGGAAAGGGCCAGAUUCUGCAAACCUAUUCAAGCUGGUGUAAAUCUUUGGCAAGUGACCAGUGGGCAACAAACACAUGCUGUAAACUUGGAACUCUAUACAUGUGGCUGCAGAAAGUGGGACCUGUCUGGCAUACCAUGCAACCAUGCAAUAUCAGCAAUUAACAAGGCAAAAAGAUUUCCAGAGAACUAUGUCUGCAAAUUCUUCAAAAAACCUUUUUACCUUGCUGCAUAUGAACCAAUGAUAUAUCCAGUUCCUGGUGAACAUGAUUGGACAAGGACAAGUGGACCAGACAUAGAGCCACCCAAAUUUCAUGUGAAGAAGGGAAGAAGGAAAGAGAAGAGAAUAAAGGGCAAAUUUGAGGUUCCAAAACCCAAGGACAGUUCAAGAAUGGCCACUAUAACAUGCAGCAACUGUGGGCUCCAAGGCCAUAGGUACACCAACUGCAAGCAACAGUUGAGACCAGAGUUGGCUUUGAGGAAAAACAAGCAUGUGGUAAACCCUUGUGAAUUGUACUUGCUAUUUGGUCUUCUUUCCUUCUAUGUUUUUUGUGCUAAACCUAAACCCUAAACUAUCAUGUUUCCUUGUAUGUUUGCAAGGCACUUGCAAGAUCAAGGAAUGAAGAUACUCCAUCAGGAUCACAGCAGCCACCAGCAAGGUCUGCUUCUGCAAGAACUACUUCUGCAAGAUCUGCUAGUGCAAGAUCUGCUACUGCAAGAUCUGCUAGUGCUAGAUCUGCUACUGAUAGAUCUGCUUCAAGAACUGCUAGAGGGUCAGCUAGUGCAAGCGCAAGAUUUGCAAGGCCUUUCACUGCCCCAAGAUUUGCUGAAGGAGCUUCAUCUUCUGGUCCUUCUACUUCUGGUGCUCCUUCAAGUGCCACAGGGAAUUAUACUCGUUUGAUGUCAUACUUUACUGCCAGUGGUAACUUAUGAGUGAUAGAAUGUUGCUACUUUAGUCUGAGUGGUGCUACAAAACUGAUGUAUGUUCUAAUGGAUUGCUAAGUUGAGUCUUAUGUGAACUGCAAUAUUUGGUCAUUUGGCACUUGUGAACAACUCAAUGCUUUUUGUGUUGUUCAUUUGGCAUUUCUGAAACAACAACUCAAUGCUCAUUUGGCUUUUGUGAACAACUCAAUGCACAUGUGUCAAGAAACCAUGCAUGUACUGGAUGAUACUGCCACAAUGGCCACAUACUUCAUUACUAAGAUGAACAUACCAAAUAUUGUUUACAAAGACACUAACUAGUAACACCUGACACUAACUUGCAACACCUGACACUAACUUGCAAAGAUCAACCUGACCACAACUGACACUAACUUGCAUCUCUCCUUAACAAGGAUCAACCUGACCACAACUGACCACUACUAGCAUCUUCAGUGCCAAAACAAGCUUGAGUCUAAACCACUGACACUAACUGCAGCAGCAUCUUACUGCACCAGCAUCUAGCUCUGCAGCAGCAUCUUGGCUGUCACCAAACCUACCACAAAGACAAGAAAAAGAAAGACAACAUUCUGAUAUUUGGCCUUCAGUGCAUCUAGCUCUGCAUUUUUCUCCCUGAGCUGAUCUUCCAAAGCCACCACCUCUCUUCCUCUUUGAGCUUCAGGCAGAGCCACAACUGCACUGUCAUCUUCAAACACACCAACAAAUAGCAUACAUACUGGAGUUCAACAUAACCAUAGAUUCUUACAGCCAUAAUUACUAGAUUCUUACAACAUUAGCUAAAGACCAUAGCAUAGUGGAGUUCAACAUUGUUCACAACUACUACAUCCAUACAUUACACUUAACUAAACCACCCUUCACAAAAGAUUAGCAAAGCCUUCUAUCAAAGCAACUUAUAUCAUGAUAGGUAUGCUCUGCUUCAUCUACCCAGAUCAUCUUCAUCUACCUCAUUCCUUCAAGAUGUCAUGGAUCAACUUCAACUUCUCUUUGCUCUUCUCCAGUGACUUCAACUGAACAACAAGCUGGAGCUUUACCUCAUCCCUGCGUUUUAUCAGAUUCUCAUGUCCCCUCUUGAGAUCAGACAUGUGAAGGUUCAACUGCACAUUCUCUUCUGUGACUUUUUCCAAAGACUUGGUGAGCUCAUCAACUUGGAUCUUUAAAUUGUUGUUGCCUUCAGCUAGCUUUUCCUUCUCUUUCAAAUGAUUCAUCUUCAUGUUCCUAAUGACAGCGCCUUGAGCUUCUACUAGGUUCAUCAGCACUUUGUACUUCUCUUUCAUCUUGAAGUUCUCUGCCUCUUUCUUCUCCAUCUCAUUCUUCAUGGCAGCCACAACUGAUGCACUGGCUCUCUCAUCUCUCUUCUCCUUAGCUUACACAGAGCUGAAAUCCAACACCCUGUCCUCCUGGACACUGAGAAGUUGAUGGACAUCUUCAACUAGUUUGUCAUAGUUGGCAUCCAGAUUCCUUUUCUCUUCUUUAAGGUGGUGGAUAGUAAGUGAACUUUCCAGGUUAUCCUUCCUCCUAGCAGUCCUGCUGUCUUCAAACAUUUCCCAAAGCUUCAACAAUGCAUUUUGCAUUGUGGGAGGCCACUCUGGGUCAACCCAAGCAAGGAAACCACAAUUGACAACUUCCUGCAAUAUAGCAAACACUUAUAUUGUUACUCUCUGAAGAACUACCAUUAUGAAAGGGCACUUUUAAAAAAUGAACUAACAACUGUAGAACUACAACCUAUACAUGUGGCCAACUAAACAAUGCUACUUCAACUGCAACCUAUACUGCCUCAAUUAAAAUUUAGCAACUACACUGCAUCAAUCAACUAACAAUUUGCUUCAUCAUCAGUACCAGUGAACAUAGCCAACUAAGCUGCUGCCCAUAUACAUAUUACAGUGAACAUAAGCAUCAAAACCAUAAUCAUCAGAACUACUAAUAAAUAACUAAACCAUAAAUAUAUUACAGUGAACAUAGCCAACUAAGCUAUUGCAGUGAGCAUCAGUACUAGAAGCAUCAAAACUACUAAGUGGUAAACUAUGUGCUUCAUCAUCAGUACUAGUAACUAUAUUACAACUAUAUUACAGUGAACAUAAAGAGAGCAUGAAUCUUACAGGCUGAGCACAAACUAGAAACCUCCUGCCCGUCUCAAAUGAUUCAAAAGCUACACGGCGCUCAGUUGGCAGCCGAUGCUCCACGCAGAGCCCCUCUGGUGCAUUCUCCAAGCCAUUGUAGUCUUGGUCUUCAAUGCUAGCAGGAAUCUACAGAGAGCAAAUCCUCAAAUCAGAAAACCAGAUCAUCAAAUCCGCAAAUCCCCAAAUCACCUAAUCCUAACCCUAGCUCUACCACUGACCUGAUAAUGCAUCCCGUCGUCGGAGGAGGAGAUCUGCAGGGUGGACAAGUCGUCGCUGCGCUCAUCCUCGAAGACCAUGGCGCGGCGGCAGUGGCGGACGCGGCGGUCUGCGCGGCGAGCGGCGGCUGGAGAGACAAGGGCGAUGAGGCGAGGAGAGGGACAGAGUGCGGCUGGCUCCGGUUGGGUUCGACCGGACCCGGCUACAUGGAGCGACCGAGACGGGUGCGAGAGUUAUCGAGCGGGUGCGCGCGGGUAGGCCACCGUGGCACCUGACAAGUGGGCCCGGUCGGUCAGAUACGUGGUCAAUACGAGCUUAUACGGCUGUCAGACCGUUUUGCAACACUUAGGCUUAGAGUUGGCACUGCAUGGCAAAAAAAUGACUAGUGGUACUGAUUCGUCACAACGUGCCGAAGUGUGGUAGUGCCUUGCAAUUAACUCGCUCCGGCGGGACUGGCGUGGAUCUGGCGGAUGGCAGCCGGAUCGGAUCGACGACGUGCGGCUCCGGCGAGUCGGAAGGGCGGCGCCGGCGGCUGAGCUCCUCCAUGGACUGCUGCAGUUCCAGGGAGUUAGAGCUUCGAAGGCCCAGCUUUUUGAUUCGGAGCCCCUUCUUCUGGCCUCUUGAGCACCGAUCCCGUCAUCGUUCCUCUUCUUAGACCCCCUUGACGUCCUGCUGCUGCGGUCUCCACACCGUCCCAGUCUUGGCCCGGCCACCGGGUCUCCUCCCUCUGACCCUCUCUCUAAGGUAUGCACGAGCAGCUAGGUUGUGUGAUUGCUUCUUCACAACAUCAAUUCUCCUCCUUGCUAAUUCAAUCGGUCAAUCCCACAAGGGUGGUGAUGGGACCUUCACAAUUUCUGGGCCAGAUCCGCCCUGGGUAUAGUGUCCAUGGCACGAUCAUACAUGCUGUUGUGUUCCUGGAUUCCAUCUUGAGAAUGAUUUGUGUAUGAUUUGCUAUCUUCAUCUUGCGUCGUUACAAAUUUCGGUUGCUUUUGCAAAGAAUGAUGCGUCAUAGCUUGGUGCCUUUUACGAAUUUCAGUAUUUGUUUAGAUCGUACUGUAUAAAGUAUUGAUUUCUUCGCGGCUAGCAACUCCAUUAAUUAGUGUGUUAAAAAUCUUCUCAUCAUUUGAUAGGUAGAUUCUGACUGCUGCUCUUCGUAGGUUUUGAAAGGGAGAAGAGAGGUUGAACCAUGGGGAAGGGGGAAGAGGAAGGCAGCCGCUAAGCCACCCACUAGGAAGCGGAUGGACAAGCUCGAUAUGGUCUUUUCCUGCCCAUUCUGCAAUGAUAGGAGCAGCGUUGAAUGCCGGAUGUUAGUACCAUCUUCACGUAUUUUUCCUGUCAGUUGGUUGAUACUGAAUGGCUAUCUAUCAAUUCAACAUUGUGUCUGGCCUUCUUUUGUCUUCAGUGAUAUGGAAACCUGAUUGGUGAGGCUAAUUGUGAAAUCUGACAGGAAAGCUUCAGCAGCCAGCACCACUGCAAAUGGUAUGUCCAAAUCAUACAUAAAACUGCAGAUUGUACCUCCUAUAACAUAGACGUAGAUGCCAUAGAUGCCAUACUGAUUGGCUCUCAACUAGAAAAUUAUGCACCGGGCAUCUCAUUUGGUUUUGUUCCUUCUCAACCUAAUGAUUGCAACUCCGGGACAGGGUAUAGCUUAUGUAUACAUUUUGUACAGCCAUGCCCAUUUCAUAUACUCUUGGGGGUUUAAUCACUCUAAUCAACUAUUAUAAUAGAGCAUAGCUGAGGUAGUAAAUCAUGCAGGGUUAUAUGCAGACACAGUUUCCAUUAAAUGAUGUCUGUACGACAGGCGGCUUCGGCUAGUCGGACGGACAACGGCGGCGGCUGAGCUUCUCCAUGGCCUGCUGCAGUUCCUAGGAGAGAGAGCUUCGAAGGUGAGGAGAUAUAGAUGAACAGAAGGGAGAGGAGGAAGGGCAGGGGCGUGGCGGCCUUGACGGUGAACCUCGGGUUGCGACGGUCUCCAGCGAGAGGCGGCGUGGGGUGGCGGCGCGAGCCUACGGAGCGGCGGCGGCUUGGAGCUGCGGGAGCUCGGGCGUUUGGAUGCGUUUGGAUCGCAGGCCUAAGGUUAUGCAUAUUGGGUAUGUUUUGAUCGCUAUCAAACCUGUCCAUACAAAAUAUUGCCAUGAUUUAUCCUGCUGUUGGCUAGAUCUGAAGUACUCCCUCCGUUCACAAAUAUAAGAUGUUCUAACUUUUUUGUGAAUCGGAUGUAUGUACGCAUAUAGGAUAUUUAUUAUAGAAGAAACAAAAGCAUAUUGGAUCCCUGUAGGUAGAACUAUAAGAAGAGGACUGGUCCUCUAAUCAUUAUAGGCCUUCAACGCCAAUUUAGGAAUUAGGACACACAUGUUAUGUUUUGUUACCAGCUCAUGGAGUUAAUUCCGAAAGUCUACAAUCCGCAUGGUAUACAAUAAUCAUCAGCUUAGUCGCUCAUGUGUGCCAUCGUUGAGCUUGUGAUGUCAUGGUAAGAGAUUUAGUACCAUCUAUAUUUUCUAUAGUUAUUUUAAUCUUUCAUCGAGAUGGACGAGGGUGAUAAACAAUUUUUGAUAUUAUGGUUCCCAUUUUUGCAUAUUGCUUGGCUCUCGACUUAGUGCUUAUCAAUCAAAAGUUGAAUGCUUGGUGAUGUGACCUUCCAUUUAGAUUUCAAUUAUGUGCAACAGUAAAAGAUGCUACACUUGUAAUAUAGAGCGAAUGUAGAGAAAACAUUUAUACAGAUGUAUUAGUUAUGACUUGUUAUAAAUAUGCCCCACCACCUAUGUAAUUCAAAACUUUUAUACCUACCAGUCCUCUUUUAUGCGGGUUUCCACUUUAAGAAAUGAUUUUAAAAUCCGACUCAAUAGAAAUGAGAAAAUAUGCAAACAAAAGCAUAUAGGAUAUUUGUUAUAUUAUGUAUUCCUAGGUUAGAUUCAUUAUCUACAACAUGUUUCCGAUGUAGCGGCAGUUUCAUUGUUUCUGAUUAUAGGCCUCAGAUGUAGAUAUAUAGGUAAUCAUUCUUCACCUGUAACGACUGAAGUGUGAAUUCCACAUUGUCUUCCCUUUUUUAUAAAUUGGUUUCUGAACGUAAUUAUUGCCUUCCAUUUGUCCAAAAUUGGAAGUAUAUACAGAAGAUCAGAAAUCAUGGCAUGGUUCCUUGCCUGCUUAUGUGUACUGUAAUUAUUUUUGACAAUCUGAUGUGUUCACGCAUCAUUACAAGAUUCUUUAAAACUACCUUUGUAGAAUAUUUCAAACCCUGGUCUAGGAGUAUGCAGCCAACCAUGCUUUCAAACCAAUAGAGAAUGUGAGAGAAAAUAUGUUGCUCGAUACUGGUGAGGAUAGUGCACUAUUUUGCUCGAUAUUGAAGCAUCAGAUCAUUCUUGUUCUAUGCAACAACUAAGACUAUUUUUUGCCACUACAGCCAUGAAACUUCAACCAAUACAUAUGUGCUCGAGUUGCUUUGCAACACAUAAUGACCAUUCAAUGUUUGCAGCAGGUGGUCGCUUUCAUGGUUGGAGUGAGCAGCUUGGCCAGGUACCAUGCGCAACAAUCCCACGGACAGGGCCGGAUCUGGGCCUAUGCGGCCUGGUGCGGCGGCCAGGGGCCCAUAUCUAAAGGGGGCCAUAAUUUUGUAUACCCUUAUAUAUAUAUAUAUAUAUAUAUAUAUAUAUAUAUAUAUAUAUAUUACUAUACAUCUAAAAAAAUAGAAGCCUUGGCCCGGCCGGCCGGCCCAGCAGUCCAGCACGUAGGCGCUCGACGCCUCGACAGGAGCGGAGAUCGCGACGGAUCGCGAGUCGCGACGAGUCGACUCCUCGAGGCUGGACUGGUCCUCGUAUCCAGAGUCCAGACUCCAGCGUCAUCGGUCAUCUUCGCCGAGUCGCUGAUCGGCGAUCGCCUCCAGCCUCCGAAUCUCCGAUCCAGGAUUCGAUCGCCAGGGCCUGCGCUUGCCUCUGGGCUCUGGCUCCUAAGUCCUAUCGCCCCUGUCUCCGACACUCCGAGGCCCCGAUGAUCGCUCCGGUGUCUCCGAAUCUCUGAUCGCCCUUCUCUGGUAUAGUUAAUAUGGGGCUUUUUUUCCUAUCUUUUUUCUUUAGAUGACGCGUAUAAUAGUAACAGGAGAGCUCAAUGUUUAAUUCUUUAUGUAAUGUUGUUGAUUACUUCAUAAUUUUAGGUGAUAUGGCACCGAAACAUAAAUCCGGUUGUGCGAAAAGGAAUAAAAGAAAAAGGGAUCUUGCACUUGCUGAAUCACAAAAAGGGGCUCUAAAAAUGUAUUUUCCGGCAACAAGUAGUGUUGAUGUCAAUAAUGAUAAUCAAAUUGAAGAAUCUGAACAUGAUCAAGAUGAUGAUCAUAAUUCAAAUGUUGAUCAUGAGGUCAAUGAACAGUCCUCGGGCCAGGGUAAGUAAUUAAAUACCUUCAAUUUUUUGCAGAAGUAAGUUAGUAACUAAUUAUAAUUUCUUAAAUUUAAAUGUAGGUCUUGAUGUUAAUAAGGACAAUACGGAAUCUACCACCCUUCAUGGCUGCCAGAGCUGGUGUAGUGUGGCGAAGAUGUCGUCAAUUGUGGCGACACAAAUGGUGAGCGACCAAUAAAAAGAAGUAAGAUUGCCGUUGAUGUUCUUGUGCAGGAGUGCUCCGAUUAUUGAUCAAGGGAGCAUUGGUCUGAUUUAAGAGGAGAUUAGUAGCUUAUUUUGUUCACAUAUGUUUAAGAGGGGACCGAGAAAAUUUCUUGCUAAGCUUAUAACAGUGUUGCACGGGCAAACUUUUGCCAUGAAGAAAUAUAACUAGAAACACGGUGUUUUUGAUUGGGAAUGGAUGUAUCUUCAAAAAGAGCUUUAGCCAAGACGUGCGUUGCACGUGCAAGCUUACUAGUACUGAUUAAUUUACUAAAUUAAUGACGUCAUCAUGUUCCAGGAAUCCGAUUAAUUAGUGGACUCAAUUAAUUCUGAUCUAAUUGGCCACAAGAGCGGCGUGUGGCCGUUGUCCAUCAGCCGAUUUAAUCGCAUGAUUUUCUCACGCUAAUCCCUCCAUGAAUGGCCGAUUUAAUCGCAUCAUUCUUUCCCAAUAAUUCCUCCAAAAUUGGCGUGGCUUCAGCCAAUUUAAUCCCAUAAUUUUCUCCCAGUAAUCCCUCCAUGAUUUAAUCAGCACGGCUUCACCAAUUUAAUCCCAUAAUUUUCUCCCACUAAUCCCUCCAUGAUUUGAUCAGCAUGGCUUCAGCCAAGUUCUUUCCCACUAUUUCCUCCGUGAAUGCCCGGAUCUCUCUCCGUGUCUUUCACUUAAUUUCGGCCCACUCAUUACCCUCUCCUUAUUAAUCUCAAGGCGCUUAUUGAUUUCAACUUGUACUCAUAUAUAAAUUGGUGAAAUUAUAUGCAAAGACGCGAGGUGGUACUAUACAAUACAAACGAAAUCUCUUUUAUUUAUACAAGCCUUAUUUAGAUCAGUUGGAUCUACGUGAGAAAAACUGUUGGCAGAUGGUGAGUUCGAUCCCUGAAAGCAUUAACUAUUUUUUGCCGGAUUCAUUGGUGGGCCACAACGCAUGCCGCUGUCGGACGGCCAGAGGCCCAACCGGGUCCAUGUACGCGAGACAGAGAGAAUAAAAGGCUGAACUGUUUUUUCCGACGUACAAAAAUCCUGUAACGACGGACGGACGAAAAUCUCAUAAUGAACGGACCAAAAUUAGGGAGGAAGAAGCAAUAGCCUUUUUAUUAGUGUAGAUUCACUCAUUUUGCUCCGUGUGUAGUCACUUGUUGAAAUCUUUAGAAAAACAAAUAUUUAGGAACGGAGGGAGUAUUUGGCAGAAGCAUCGUCUAUGGCAACUGAAGAAGAAGAAGAAAAAAAAAGGAAGUGUGCGACAUGGCUGGUUGCUGCGGUAGGUACGCGUACUGCAGCCAUCCAUCCAACAAGAACAAGGUGGGCGAGCUGCUGUGCUGAGUGCAGUACGCAUAUAUCUUCGCACAUUAUACUACUACUACUACACUACUUGUAACGGAACAGGUGAGCGUUUGUGUACUCCAGUUGCACUGCGGCAGCCUCUUGCUAGUACUACUCAUGUACUACUAGUGUACUGCCAAGCGAGUGAAGAGUAGCAACUCACCUUUCUCUGCAUAUAUAUUGAUCUUCCCUGUGAUGUUGGUGGCAUGGCAUGGGCGUCGGCAGCAAUCAGCAUCAGGUGAGGUGGUGGACGAACAAGUGUGACAGAGAGGAGAUUUUGUGAUUUGAGAGGGCAGAGGAGACAGGGAUGGAGCAGAGCAAGGGAUGGGGCAAACAACAAACUUCAACUGCUUCCUUCCACUGAUCACCUCCUGAUUAUAUGACAAGAGCGAGAGAGUUGUGAGAGAUGAGAGCUUCUGUUAUUGUUGUUGUUGUUGCUCCCUCCCUGCACUGCCUCUUCCCUGUACUCGCUCCGUUCUAAAAUAGAUGACCCAACUUUAUACUAAAGCCAGUACAAAGUUGAGUCAUUUAUUUUGGAACGGAGGGAGUAACUCUCUUUCUCCCUCUCUUAUCAUUUUCUGACCCUGUUAUCGGCAGCUCCUGCUGUUUUGUUUGCUCUUCAGUUCUGCAGGCUCCUUUGUUUAUAAUCUUUACGUGCUUAUUACUCUAAUUUCGUUCAAACGGAUACUUCAAACUUGUUCACUGCUCAGAUACAGGGAGAAGGCAAGCUAAGGUUGUAUUACAAUGUUCCUCGUUGCACUCCAGCGUCCUCUUCCUCCAACACGCUUGUUGCCACAUGCCUCUUCGGUUUCGACAAUAAGAUACACAUCUUUGGAGGAGCGGCCAUGAUGCCAUAUGGAAACAUUGGAGGGACUAAUCGUCAGAGUUUUUCAUCAAACCUCCCUCGACACUUGAAGAUGUAUACGUAGCUUUUAAGAGUGCAUAAGUCGGUGACUGCUAGCAGAACAAGCAUCCAUGCAGUGAUUUUUCACUCGGUUUCUCUUGUACAUAAACUCUGUUUUUGUCUCUGCUGUUCAACAUUCAGCAAUGCGAAAUGAACGGCUGAAUUCAGACGUCCAUUCUACCGUGACAUUCACAUGGAGGGUGUUUCAUAUCAUCACCAAAAAACAAAAUAAAAAUCAUACCCAUAUCUGACAUAAUCUUGAUGAAACAAGAGGAAACCCAUGACACCGGCUGCUACCUUCAUCAAUCUUGACAGUAAAAAGGGAAAUUCCUUAACACUAUAUAGAAUAUCAGGGAUAUUUUAUUAUCCCAGGCUCCCAGCACAGGUGAUAAGUGGUAAGUACAAGACAGGCAAACAGACUGAAAGUGGAAGUUCGAUUCCUUCCUUUGCCAUGAAUGCGGGUGGUAUAGUUCUGAAGAUUGUGACUAUGUAGUUCAUAACUCGGAGGAAGCUGUAGCCAAUGUCAACGUGCAAGACAGGCAAAACCCUGACAAAACUUGAUUCCUGCCGUUCCACAGCAUGGAAACUACGUACAAUCCUAGAUGAAACACUGAAUCUCCUCCUAUAUAUUGCUAAAAAAUCUGCAAUGUGAUGGUUUCGAAGAGGCGGAUUUGCGGACACCGGAGGGGCCAGCAGGCUCACCACCUGCCGCGAGGGCGAGGUAGCACGCCUCACGCAGCAGGUUGCGGCGGAGCCUCCUCUUGCUUGCUGCUGCCGUCGUCGGGCGAGCGGACUGAACAGCUAGCGCCUUGACGACGACGCCGAAGCCGCCCUUCCCGAGCACGCGCGUCAGCUCGUGGUGCUCCCGAUGCGCCGUCUCCUGCGGGAUCCGGCGGCGUGGUCGUCGAUCAUGGCGCCAAUUGCGGCUUCAGCAGCGGCGACUCGCGAGCUGCUGGCGCGCGUCGGAGAGCAAGUUUUGGUGGCGCGCGCGCAACGGAUGGAGCGCGUUUGCCGCUGUUCAAUCGGAUUGCGGCCGACUCGACUGGAGCAAAACGCGCUUCCGAAUUCGAUCGGGAGUGGCGCUUUGCUCUGCUCGCGUCCGACUGGAGCACGGUCACCGCCUCGCCGGGAGAUAUAAGCUCCAUGGGGUGCUCCCUCGUGGUAGGCGAUCGCCAUCUUCCUUGCCCCCCAAUCUCUCCAUCCAAUCCUCCCUCUCCACUUCUCCAUCCACUCCAAAACCGAUCACAGGAGCUCGCGGCCGCCACCCAUGGCCGGGCAGAUGCUCCGCCGGUGGAACAGCUUCUACGGCGCCUUCGACCCCGUGGACGCCGCCAUCGAGGCCGCCGACCCAGACCAGUUCUCACGCCACGUGUUCCGGCGCGCGAGGGGCGACCUGGUGGGACGGCUCUGCAGCGCCGCCGACGACGCCCAGGCGGAGCGCAUCUGCGGGAUUCUCGACGACAUCAUGGCGGAGUCUCUCGAGACGCUGAGGCUGGUUCCAUCCACGCCGGGGGCGCCCAUCUCCGCGGAACUCGCCGACUCCGUGCGCGCGCUGCGGGAGCACGACUCGGAGCGCGUCCGCCUCCUCGCGCGCGGCAUCGUGAGCGGGUGGGAGGCCUCCGUCCAGGACGACGACGGCGCCAAGGUCACACCGGCCAUGCCGGUGAAGAAGCUACCGCAGCCCAAGGCGAGCGUCGGCCAGCAGCAGCAGCGGCGGCGUGUCUCCGCCGACCCUGACGCGAAGACGAAGCGACCUCCCAAGAUCGUCGGCGAGCCAUUGUCCAAGAAGACGGCUGAAAUCAUCAAAAAGGCGUCCGAUCCUGUCGACGGUGACCGCGCCGGGUUCUGCUCGGAGGACAAGAUUGAAGCCGCGAAGCGCAAGCUCCGGCAAGGUUACCAGGAAGCAGAGGACGCCAAACGGCGGCGCAGGACGCAGUUGGUGCAGGCGGCGCCCAAGAUGAUGCAGCGGAUCAGGAGGUGCACCAGCUCCAUGGUGAAGGAAACCUUGUCGAUCAGGACCACGCAGCUUCACAUUAGGUCUCUAGUCAAGAAAAUCCAUAUGUAAUCCUUCUUCUCGAAUCUCGAACAUGCCAUACUGCAGUUGCUCGUAGUAUGCAUGUUAUGUAUGUGAUCGAAAGAAGUUGAUAAAUUAAAGCGAGAUUUACUGUUACAAAUCUGCAAGGGAUUUCGAGAGAAAUUGCUCGUCAUGUUGGGGAAGAUGCAUGUGUUUGUGGCUAUUUACUGUAUAAUUCUGCACGCAACUGAGCAACCAACAAAGGCCUCCUUUUAAAAUUCAGUUUUCUUUAAAAUUUCGAGUUCUCGUGCCCAUGUUCAGACUUGCAGUCCAAGUUGCAACUUGAAUUCAAUCAAAAUUGAGAAAAUCCUCCUCUUUCUGUUUCACUUGGUAUAAAACUGCAUAUGUACGACAAACCAUGACAUGCAUCCACAAAAAGAUAAAUCUUUUCUGAGGUUUACAAGUUGGAUUGUACUCAACACAGAUUGGAUACAAAGCAGCAGCAACUAGAAUCUUGACUAGUGUAUUCCUAGUUUAAUCUGAGUGUCAAAUCACAAGAAUGCUUUCUUCAGUUUUUUUGUUGUUGCGAUGAAUGCUUUCUUCAGUUUACACCAAGGUAUUUCAAAGGAGAAAAGGCUAUGUUACAAAGAACAAAAUGCGAGCUAGCUCGAGUGGUGUCUUUUAUCUAGCAGUACUAUUUAGUAUUUACAGGUGUACAUGAUUCCCGUUUCCUUCAAAACCCUGAUUCGCUUUGUAUCCUCGGACCAAGAGAGCUGAUCAUCACACUCCAUUAUCACCAUUGAUAAACAAGGGCAGAGACCCCCCAAGCACCUCCAUACCCUUUCUAUCGCCAAAUGGUCCGCAAUACCUGAACUUCAAACUAGAGACGCAGUGUCCCACCAUAAUGUUGAGUGAUGGAAUCCUACAAGAAGGACCAAAUAGUUACUGGGAUGGGCUUUCACUUGAUCGGUUUGACAAGCAUGCACAUCUUGGUUUGCAACAAUUUCCCAACAAAUUCGUAUCUAAUAAUGGUUAAAUGGAUGUAUGAUUUACCCUUUUUUUGCUCGAACAGUACGCUUUACCUUUUCAAAAGAAGGAAACAUUUGUACAGCUCUUCAAUAUCAGAAUCAACUUUCAGGUGUAUAUACUCUGUAAGAACAGAGAGUCGCGAGAGUGUGUCGUUCCAUUCUUCGCUACCUGAGGUAGGACACAGAGGGAGGAGGGAAGCAACAUGCUCUAAAAUUGAAGAUAAAGGUUGACUGGAGAUAGAAUUUGCGUGUUGCUCUGCAAUGGCAUUCAGUAGUAGGGAACUGCUAAUUCUGAACUGUUUGGCCCAUUUCUGAGAACUUCCUGGCAGAACACAAAUCACUGGAUUUUUUGGAUAAUCAGUUCCUCCAUUCUCCAGAGUUUUAUUUUCAGUAACAUUUGAAGUGCGGCAUGUAGGAUCUAUCGGCCUAUGUAAUGGUAGCACCCAGUCACGGGGUCAUCAAUAACAGUUGCAGGGUCUUUCAUCUGCACCCGCUCGCUCCGUUCAAAUUGCCGCAUGUUGCGAUGACCGACGCGGCUGUCGUUGGCUACUGAAGGAAAUAUGCCCUAGAGGCAAUAAUAAAGUUAUUAUUUAUUUCCUUAUUUCAUGAUAAAUGUUUAUUAUUCGUGCUAGAAUUGUAUUGACCGGAAACUUAGUACAUGUGUGAAUACAUAGACAAACAGAGUGUCCCUAGUAUGCCUCUACUUGACUAGCUCGUUAAUCAAAGAUGGUUAAGUUUUCUAAGCAUAGACAUGUGUUGUCAUUUGAUGAACGGGAUCACAUCAUUAGAGAAUGAUGUGAUGGACAAGACCCAUUCGUUAGCUUAGCAUUAUGAUCGUUUCAGUUUCAUUGCUACUGCUUUCUUCAUGACUUAUACAUGUUCCUCAGACUAUGAGAUUAUGCAACUCCCGAAUACCGGAGGAACACCUAGUGUGCUAUCAAACGUCACAACGUAACUGGGUGAUUAUAAAGAUGCUCUACAGGUGUCUCCGAAGGUGUUUGUUAGGUUGGCAUAGAUCAAGAUUAGGAUUUGUCACUCCGUGUAUCAGAGAGGUAUCUCUGGGCCCUCUCGGUAAUGCACAUCACUAUAAGCCUUGCAAACAAUGUGACUAAUGAGUUAGUUGCGGGAUGAUGCAUUACGGAAUGAGUAAAGAGACUUGCCGGUAACGAGAUUGAACUAGGUAUGAUGAUACCGACGAUCGAAUCUCGGGCAAGUAACAUACCAAUGACAAAGGGAACAACGUAUGUUGUUAUGCGGUUUGACCGAUAAAGAUCUUCGUAGAAUAUGUAGGAGCCAAUAUGAGCAUCCAUGUUCCGCUAUUGGUUAUUGACCAGAGAAGUGUCUCGGUCAUGUCUACAUAGUUCUCGAACCCGUAGGGUCCGCACGCUUAACGUUCGAUGACGAUUUGUAUUAUGAGUUAUGUGAUUUGAUGUACCGAAGGUUGUUCGGAGUCCCGGAUGAGAUCACGGACAUGACGAGGAGUCUCGAAAUUGUCGAGAGGUAAAGAUUCAUAUAUUGGAAGGUUGCAUUCGGACAUCGGAAUGGUCCCGAGUGAUUCGGGCAUUUUUCCGGAGUACCGGGAGGUUACCGGAACCCUCCGGGGAAAGAUAUGGGUCUUAUGCGCCAUAGGAGGGAGGCUAACCAGCCCACAAGGGAGGAGGCCGAAUUGGACUUGGGAAGGGGGCGCCACCCCCCUUUCCUUCUCCUACUUCCUCUCCUUCCCCUUUUCCCCCUCCGGUAGAAGGAAAAAGGCGUGGGGCCGAUGAUGUCUACUACGCAACCUUCUCCUUGUAGACGUUGUUGGGCCUCCAAGUGCAGAGGUUUGUAGGACAGUAGCAAAUUUCUCUCAGGUGGAUGACCUAAGGUUUAUCAAUCCGUGGGAGGUGUAGGAUGAAGAUGCUCUCUCUCAAGCAACCCUGCAACCAAAUAACAAAGAGUCUCUUGUGUCCCCAACACCCCAAUACAAUGAUAAAUUGUAUAGGUGCACUAGUUCGACGAAGAGAUGGUGAUACAAGUGCAAUAUGGAUGAUAGAUAUGAGUAUUUGUAAUCUGAAAAUAUAAAAACGGCAAGGUAACAAGUGGUAAAAGUGAGCGUAAACGGUAUUGCAAUGCUAGGAAACAAGGCCUAAGGUUCAUACUUUCACUAGUGCAAGUUCUCUCAACAAUAAUAACAUAAUUGGAUCAUAUAACUAUCCCUCAACGUGCAACAAAGAGUCACUCCAAAGUCACUAAUAGCGGAGAACAAACGAAGAGAUUAUUGUAGGGUACGAAACCACCUCAAAGUUAUCCUUUCUGAUCGAUCUAUUCAAGAGUCCAUAGUAAAAUAACACGAAGCUAUUCUUUCCGUUCGAUCUAUCAUAGAGUUCGUACUAGAAUAACACCUUAAGAAACAAAUCAACCAAAACCCUAAUGUCACCUAGAUACUCCAAUGUCACCUCAAGUAUCCGCGGGUAUGAUUAUACGAUAUGUUGGGGAUCGUUGCAGAAAUUAAAAAAAUUAUACGCAUCACCAAGAUCAAUCUAUGAAGAGACAUCAUGGUAUGCACCACAUCCAAUAGGGUGCAGCUAUGAUGUUCGGACACACCAUCACAUUAUGGUGUUCCAGGCGGCAUUAGUUGUGAAACAAUUUCCACAAUGUCUUAAUUGUGUACCAAACACGUAACUCAGAUAUUCAUCUCUAUGAUCAUAUCAUAGACAUUUUAUCCUCUUGUCACGACGAUCUUCAACUUCACUCUGAAAUUACUUGAACCUUUCAAUAAUUCAGACUUGUGUUUCAUCAAGUAAAUAUACUUAGAAUCUACUCAAAUCAUCUGUGAAGUAAGAGCAUACGAUAUUCACUGCGUGCCUCAGCACUCAUUGGAUUGCACACAUCAAAUGUAUUACUUUCAACAAGUUGCUCUCUUGUUUCAUCUCACUGAAAACGAGGCCUUUCAGUCAUCUUGCCCAUGUGGUAUGAUUUGCAUGUCUCAAGUGAUUCAAAAUCAAGUGAGUCCAAACGAUCCAUCUGCAUGGAGUUUCUUCAUGCGUAUAAACCAAUAGACAUGGUUCGCAUGUCUCAAACUUUUCAAAAAACGAGUGAGUCCAAAGAUCCAUCAACAUGGAGCUUCUUCAUGCGUUUUAUACCAAUAUGACUCAAAUGGUAGUGCCACAAGUAUGUGGUACUAUCAUUACUAUCUUAUAUCUUUUGGCAUGAACAUGUGUAUCACUACGAUCGAGAUUCAAUAAACCAUUCAUUUUAGGUGCAAGACCAUUGAAGGUAUUAUUCAAAUAAACAGAGUAACCAUUAUUCUCCUUAAAUGAAACCGUAUUGCGAUAAACAUAAUCCAAUCAUGUCUAUGCUCAAUGCAAACACCAAAUAACAAUUAUUUAGGUUUAACACCAAUCUCGAUGGUAGAGGGAGCAUGCAUUGGUUGAUCACAUCAACCUUGGAAACACUUCCAACACAUAUCGUCAUCUCACCUUCAGCUAGUCUCCGUUUAUUCCGUAGCUUUUUGUUUCGAGUUACUAACACUUAGCAACCGAACCGGUAUUUUAAUACCCUGGUGCUAUUACGAGUACUACUAGUACACAUUAUAAUGUAUAUCCAAUAUACUUCUGUCGGCCUUGCCGGCCUUCUCAUCUACCAAGUAUCUAGGGUAGUUCUGCUUCAGUGACCGUUCCCCUUAUUUCAGAAGCACUUAGUCUCGGGUUUGGGUUCAACCUUGGGUUUCUUCACUAGAGCAGCAACUGAUUUGCUGUUUCAUGAAGUAUCCCUUUCUUGCCCUUGCCCUUCUUGAAACUAGUGGUUUACUAACCAUCAACAAUUGAUGCUCCUAUUUGAUUUCUAUUUUCGCGGUGUCGCGAAUAGCUCAAGGAUCAUCAUAUAUAUCCCUGAUAUGUUAUAGUUCAUCACGAAGAUCUAGUACCUUGGUGGCAGUGACUUUGGAGAACCAUCACUAUCUCAUCUGGAAGAUUAACUCCCAGUCGAUUCAAGCGAUUGUAGUACUCAUACAAUCUGAGCACAUGCUCAACGAUUGAGCUUUUCUCCUUAGUUUGCAGGCUUAAGAAACUUGUCAGAGGUCUCAUACCUCUUGACGUGGGAACUAGCCUGAAAUCCCAAUUUCAGUCCUUGGAACAUCUCAUAUGUUCUGCGAUGUUUCAAAAACGUCUUCGGUGCCUGAAUUCUAAACCAUUUAGCAUUACGCACUGAACUAUCAUGUAGUCAUCAAAACGUGUAUGUCAGAUGUUCGCAACAUCCACAACCGACGCUCGAGGUUCAGCACACUGAGCGGUGCAUUAAGGACAUAAUCCUUCCGCGCAGCAAUGAGGACAAUCCUCAGUUUACGGACCCAGUUCGCAUAAUUGCUACUGUCAACUCCCUACUAAAUUUUCUCUAGGAACAUAUCUAAAAUAGUAGAACCACUGCAGUGCGUACGUACUUUAGCUUAUGCCGACCUAGGCUUUGGCUAUUCGCUAGCUCGGCCACUGCUGGUAGCAUUAGCCAAUGAUGAAGCUAUGAAAUAAUGCAAACAAAAAAAACCAUCAGAUUGAUGACGCCGCUGCGGUGUGGCUACUGCACGGCGUUGCAAGCGGGCAUGGCAUUGUUGAAUCCCUUCCGUGUCGCCAUGGUCACAAACCCAAACCCUCGCGAUCGCCCACGCUUGUCGUACACGACUCUUGCGCGGGCCACCUUCCCGUGCUUGCUGAACAUGUCUCGCAGCCGGGAGCUAUCCACCUUCGGGGACAGAUCACCGACGUCGUUGCAGGUCGUUGGGGUUCCUCCCUGGCCUUGAGUCAUCCGCGCAGGAAAGACAGGUAUCUGGGGAUCGGGCAGGAACCACAGGCACCCCGUGUCGUGCCAUCCAGGCGGCAGGGUCUCCACCAGCGUGGUGGCGCCGUCCUUGAAGCUGUACAUAUACACGCUGCACGGCUCCGGAGGAUCAGAACGUCCGUCUUGGCCUGCCGUGUUGUCGAUGACAAAGUAGGCGGUGCCACCGCUCAGCUCCUCGCCGAACCACACGGCAUCCACAGGGAAGCUACCCGGGAAACCCAAGAAGAGGACAGCGUCGUGGAAGUCUGAUUCGUCAUCGCGCACCCACUCCACCACCCGCUCCUCCUCCCCCUCGCCGCCGUUCCGCAAACACAGUUGGUGCAGUGACACCGACAGGUCGGUGCCGCUGUCCGCUUGAAGAACACUGGCAAGGAGCAGGUCGCCUCCGGACUCAAAGAGGUAGCUGCACCGGCUUACCGGGCUCAUCCGGCAGGGCCCCUUGCACUUCGUUGGUGAUUACAUUGGUGUAGAGGCCUGGAUAGAUUUCAUCCCAGCGCGGCCAGAGGAUGUGGCAGGUAGCCAAGCCAACGCACACGAUGUAGCCAUAGUAAUACGCGGCCGCGCAGCAGCGGUCGGUGCCGAGAUUCGACGUCACACGCUGCCACUCACCGUGGCCCGGGCGCAGGAAGGACGCCCAGAAUCUACUGUGUGGAUUGUUACCUUGCUCUGGCCGGAAGUCGUAUAGAAGGACGGCGCCGUCGUCGGAGACGACGCGAUGCCUGUGAUCCAGCCACUUGCGGUCGAGACGCUCGCGGGGGAAAGGCAGGGGUCCGGCUGUGAGAGGGUUGACGAGGGAGAGGUCGGCGCUGAGCAGCCACGCCGCGGUGCCGUCGGUGCGGGCGACCCUCGUGUCCCGGACGCAGACGCCAGGCGCGAUGUAGCUGGCCUUGGAGAAGACGCAGCGGCACCGCUGGUCCUCCACGGAGACAGAGUCAUCGGCGGCCGACGGUGCGACGAGCCACGGCAGGAGGCCCCUUUUAUUUUCAAGUGUUGCACCAUGAUUUGCAGACGGCGUUGAAGCGGACGGCGUCGGACGCGGCGUGGAGACGGCCGGAGAUGUCCCGGAGCAGAUCGGCCGGGAGAUCCGCCCACUGGCCGGAGGGCGAUGUUGGUGAUGUCAUGGUGCGCGCGCAAUCGGUCGUCGAUCUUGUGACUCGAUCGAUUGGCUUCUCUCUCGUGAUCCUGUCGGGGCAGUAUAUAGAGGUUGACGCGUCGGUUAUAUGAGUGUGCGUGGAGCGCACCCGGCUCGGCUCCGACUCUUUCUCUGUGGCAUCCGGUCUGAGUUAAUCAACUUAUUCUGUUGUACGUACGAGCGUGCGUGGGUUUGUGUUUGUAACAGAUCGGCUUCUUGUAGAUCUCCGUAAUCUCUAUUUUUCCUUCUUUCUUUUCGAAAACAUCGAUUACAAGACAACAUAGACAUAAUACACACACUCACACCAAUAAACACGUACCCACACGACGCCUACCGAAGACCGGGUCAGAGUUGCGGAGCUUCAAGAUUGACGAAGUCACCAUGUUCACCUUGCUGUUGACAAGAACGUCACCUUCCACUCGCACUAAACACUACAGAAAAAAGCAAAAAGAAAUGUUGAUGUGCUAGACAUCAGGUGCCUAAAAUUGUUUCUUGGAUCACCCGAUCCCUCACGCGCCCUGUGCCCAAGCCUAAAACGGGGUGGCUGCGCAGCCACCCGACGAGGGCGAGCCAGGAGAUUACUGGAAACCGGGACAAUGUGAGAGGAAGAGGGUUGACGCUCGCCGGCGCAGGAGAAGGGUGAGGCUUAGAGGGAUGAUCGAGGUGACGGCGGCACAUCGGAGGAGGCAGCUCGGAGAGGGUGAUGUGGCGCGUGGCAGCGGCAGGUAGUUAAGCAGGGGCCAAAGAGCGGGUCCACUGGGAGGGAAAGAAGAUGAACAGUAGCCACGCGUUGGAGGAAGAUGAGUAGUAAGCCGUGAAAAUAUAUCAACUAUUCCAUAGAGCUAUUCCGAGCAACUGACGGAUAGAUGCACCCUUCCCUUUGUUCGAGGAUACAACAACAACAACAACAACAACAAAUCCUUUAGUCUCAAAUAAGUUGUUGGUAGACUAGAUGUGAAACUCAUAAGAUCUCGCGACCAACUCAUGGCUCUGGCACAUGGACAGCAAGCUUCCACGCACCCCUGUCCAUAGCUAGUUCUUUGGUGAUACUCCAAUACUUCAGGUCUCUCUUAACGGACUCCUCCCGUGUCAAAUCUGGUCUACCCCGACCUCUCUUGACAUUCUCCGCACGCUUUAGCUGUCUGCUAUGCAUUGGAGCUUCUGGAGGCCUGUGCUGAAUAUGCCCAAACCAUCUCGGACGAUGUUGGACAAGCUUCUCUUCAAUUGGUGCUACCCCAACUCUAUCUCUUAUAUCAUCCGGACUCGAUCCUUCCUCAUGUGGCCACACAUCCAUCUCAACAUACGCAUCUCCGCCACACCUAACUGUUGAACAUAUCGCCUUUUAGUCGGCCAACACUCAGCGUCAUACAACAUUGCAGGUCGAACGACCGUCCUAUAGAACUUGCCGAUCUGGCGAAUAAAAUUUCCUUGAGCCUCCCGAUCUCGAUGUGGGCGGCGAUGGCUCAUUGGCAUAGAGUACUUCCGUAGUGUUUGCAGAGUUUAUCGAUGUGGUGGUGGCGGCGGCUUUUCUUUGGUGUUUGGUCCCUUAGCCUCCUUUUCGUCAUGUUGGUACUGCCUCAUGUGCUGACGUGAGGCCGGGAACUUUUUUUUAGGCUAGGAUUUUGAAUUUGUGUAUCUUCCAACAAGGGUGAUCUCAAUUCUUUCGUCUCUCGGAUGCUGGUCCCAUAUACCUUGAUGACUUUUCGUCUGCAAUCAGUUCAGGACAAAAAAGGCAAUCAUACCUCAAGAGAUGUAUUUUUUAUCUCUAUUAUUAUAGGAGAGUUGGUUUCGCCGUCUCCCCUCUUUUACNNNNNNNNNNNNNNNNNNNNNNNNNNNNNNNNNNNNNNNNNNNNNNNNNNNNNNNNNNNNNNNNNNNNNNNNNNNNNNNNNNNNNNNNNNNNNNNNNNNNNNNNNNNNNNNNNNNNNNNNNNNNNNNNNNNNNNNNNNNNNNNNNNNNNNNNNNNNNNNNNNNNNNNNNNNNNNNNNNNNNNNNNNNNNNNNNNNNNNNNNNNNNNNNNNNNNNNNNNNNNNNNNNNNNNNNNNNNNNNNNNNNNNNNNNNNNNNNNNNNNNNNNNNNNNNNNNNNNNNNNNNNNNNNNNNNNNNNNNNNNNNNNNNNNNNNNNNNNNNNNNNNNNNNNNNNNNNNNNNNNNNNNNNNNNNNNNNNNNNNNNNNNNNNNNNNNNACCACGUCCUGCAUUAACGCAGUCGAAUCGAAUCAAAUCAAUAUUACCAAAAUCUCUACUAACUGAAACUUUCCUUGCCUUCUCUUACCCAUACUCAAAUCAAAUUAAAUGUCACUAAAAUCUAAAAUAUGGUGGAUGUAAGGUAUAUGUCGGACAAGAUUGAUGUUGAACCAGUAUAGAUCUGGGCUUCUUGCCAGGUUUACAAAAUGUGUGGGUUUAAUUGCCGGAUUGAUUUGAUCAAUAGAUAGAUCCGGUAAAAGGAAUGGGAGUAUCUAGAACUCAUCUAGAUGAGACGUAAUUUGGUCUCAUUCACCUGGAAAACAAGAAUGGAUACAACCCACGUCAACACACACGCAUCUUAUAACAUCACAUCCAGUGACUAUAAAAGAUGAAUGAGACCAAAUUAAAUCUCAUCUAGAUGAGUUCUAGCAAAACUGAAAAGAAAUAAUUGUGGCUGAGUCGUAACUACUCCUAGUAUAUUUAGAGUUUUACAUGUUUUAAAGUUGAGAUAAGAAUUACGACCAGAUCUGCUGCACGCCGACUAGUAUAAUAUAGUUCCCCUGUUAACACAAAUCUAUAUCUCUACCUGAUUCUCAACAAAAAGAAUUAAAAAAAUUCUAGUUUAUCUCUACCGACGCCGUCGAGGACUCUUGAAAUAGCGACCUAUAACCGUACGUAUAUAACACGCGCAUGCAUCUUGCGAUUUGCCGCACAUCCAACUCCGGCCAUCUCUACACAAGCUAGCGGCGGCCGUCUCCUUGGUCGACGUCCACGUACGCGCUCCAGUCAUACAUGUCGAUCUCCGCUGCCUUUUCCGCCCUGCGUGCCGCCGGCCGGCAGCAGCUCUCCGCUUCAAGCAUCGCCGCGCGGCAGGCGACCGGCUCCCACAUGUUCCGGGUCGACGGGCAAUGGCGCUAAGGUGAGAUCAGGCACGUUCCGCGUCGGCGGCCACGACUGGCGUCUCGUAUGCUACCCAAACGGCAACGGGAAGGAGUACGAGGGGUACAUGUCCCUCUCUCUUCCUCGAGCAUGCCAGCCACGAGAGGACCGGGGAUGCCACGGCAAAGGCCCAGCUGAGCAUACUCGACCAGGCAUGGAAGCCGAGCUACACUCGAGACAUAGCCAAGACACGCUUCUUCUCGAGUAACCUCAGUUGGGGCACGCGGGGCUUCUUGAAACACGAGGAUCUGGACGCCCUAACGAGGAAGCAUCUCAAGGACGACUGCCUGACUGUUCUGUGCGAUGUCACCGUCACCGUCACCGAGCUGUGCACCGAAGACCACGCCGAGACUGCCGCACCGGAGCCUACAGUGGUGGCGCCUCCCUUCGGAUUGCCCGGGCAACUCGGGGAAGCCGUCUGGAACACGAAGGGAGUGGACGUGCACAUCGAGGUCGGCGGGGAGACGCUCCCCGCGCACCGGCAGAUACUCGAGGCCGGGUCACCCGUCUUCAAGGCGGACCUCUCGCUCGCCUCGGCCACCGCCAGCGACAGCAGCGACACCGCCGUACUGCGCGUCGACGACAUGGACGCCGAGGUGUUCAAGGCCCUGCUCCAGUUCAUCUACACGGACUCACCUCCCGUGAUCCUGUCGGCGUCGAUGGCGGAGAGGCUGCUCGUCGCGGCGGACAGGUACAAGCUGGAAGAGUUGAAGCUCCUCUGCGAGGACGCAUUGUGCUGGCGCGUCGACAUGAGCUCCGUGGCUGUCGCUCUAGCGUUGGCGGAGAAGCAUAGUUGCUCCGCGCUGAGGGCGGCAUGCAUCCAGUUCCUCUCUUGUCCGGGGAACCUGGAAUCAUUCAUGGCAUCGGAUGGGUUUGAGAAGGUAAGGACGUAUUGUCCCUUCCGCUCUCAUGGAGCUUGUCCUCAAGAAGAUUACAAUAUAGGAGCAACUAGCAACUAAGGGUUAGGAAUCGUCUACCAGCUAGAUAUACGAAGUGAUGUCGAUUAGAUUGUCUCGGGUAGAGUAGAGGCUUGAUUCAAUGAGCUAUAGUCUGCGUGUCUCGUGCUGCAAACUCUAUUUUUUACACAGUAUAAACUCUGUUUUUUUCCCUAUUAUAAAUGAUUGUCAAUUCUUUCUCUUAUCGUUUCUUUUGGUUAAAUCUUCCAUCCAACAGAUUGUCUAGCUUCAAGAAGUCCAAGAGUAAAAUUCCAAGAAGUAGUGAUAGUUAUUUGGAGCAUAGGAGCACCCAAAAAAUCGCUAAUGAAAAAGGAAAAAGUCUGAAAGUGAAAAUCAAACAUGGUUGUAUUGGCAAAUUAAAGGAUCACAACACCCUACCCCGGCCCGAGAGAGGAACACGGCUAAUUGAGGGUCAGCCGCACAUGGGCUACGCACGAGAUUGUUUUUCCUCUUUUUGGGCCAAGUUUUCAUAUUUACCGAUUUCUAUUACCUGAAAUUUCAUUUUAGACAGUUUUAGAAAUUAUUGUACAAGCUUUCAAAAAAUCUUGGUUGAGCUUUCAAUAUUUAAAACUUUUAGGAUUUUCAAAACUUCACAAUGUUAAAAUUUUAUAACUUCAACUUUUGAAAAUUUAAACUUUGUGAUUUCAAAUAAUAAAGUUAGCUUUUAAAAAGGUAAAUAUUUUAACAUUCAAAAAUUCUAGAAACUUCACACGGAGAAAAACCACACCUACUCCCUCCGUCCGGAAAUACUUGUCAUUUUCAUCCAUUUCUAUGACAGGUAUUUCUGGAUAUUUUCAUCCAUUCUAUGAGAAGUAUUUCCGGACGGAGGGAGUCCUUCAUAGGAAAGGGAAGGCGGGAAGCACACACUUGCAUGGGCACCAUACCCAUCGGGUCCCAAUAGGUAGAGCGUUGCACUGUUACACGAGUGCAACGGGCACCUGCGAGGGAUUUAGUUCACCUAGAGUGUUUUAGUAAGAUAAAGAACUUUUUUGGUAACAUUGUACUAUGAUUCUUUGCGCUUGAAGACCAAACAACCAUGCCUUAUUAUUAACCUAAAAUUGGCACUAUCUCCUAAUCUUUCCAUUGACUUCCCUCGAGUGCAAAUGGUGUAAUUCAAGCCCUCCGUUCCAUAAUUCUUGUCAUGGUUUUAGUUCAAAUUAUAACUAAAACCAUGACAAGAAUUGUGGAACAGAGGGAGUAAGUAUGUGCUGCUGCUCUUGGCUGCGUCCCGUCUAGAGCUAUGUUCGUCUUCUCUCCAUGAUCUUGAGGAUAUUUUUGUUACCUUUUAAAAAAAGGGACAAGCUACGUGAAAGUUGAUUGAAUUUGUUUUUGGGCCAGUUGAGUGACCAAAAAAUUAUAUUAGUCGAUUUGCUUGCAGAUUCCUACUCGAUCGUUUCUAUUAGAGCACGUCACCCCGACCCGUUACUCCCACAUCAAUAGCUCCCAAGCUCCAUCUCUCUAUAACAACUUCUCAUGUUCUCAUGUGUCAUUAUUGCAUGCGCUGGUUUAGUGGAGUCAGCUUCGGUGGUAUUUAUUAGAUCAUGGUCGCAUCUACGUGUUCAUGGGUCAGUAUAUAUGUACACUUUGAUUGAUUGAAUACAAGUGUAGUUCUAGUCUCUUUCGUGUCCUUCCCUCUCAAAGUUUUCUAUAUAUCUACCACUUGCUCACUUCAUCACCCAGCUAUAACACAGGAUUUAGGACAUUGACAUUCAUGCAUAGGGCUCGUACUUGUUUCACGCAUAGAUCAGCAAGAGUUCGGUGAUUUUUAUGUCUACUUGAAUCACAGACCGGAUACAAUCCUUUGUAGGUGGGCUGCUUCAAUCAAGACAAGGAAAUUGACAGAACUAAAAAAUUAAAUAUUUCAGGUCCUUGAAAAUUAGAAAAAUAAUUAACAUAUAGAUUUUAUUUUAAGUUUGUAACACAAAACUAAGCACAAUACAAACCCGUUAAUACAAUCGAUCUUGGACUGAGACAACAACAAAGCACAGUACAAAUACGUUAAUCCGAUAACCAAAAGAAGAAAAAGGGUAUGUCGAAUGAAAUUCUAAUCCCUGCAAAAAAAAGAGAAUGAAAUUCUAAUACUACUUGUUACAAGUCCGAUUUUGCACCAUCCUGUGGACAAACAAACAUGCAACAAAAUGAAAAUCGACAUGCACUAAAUUUUGU
rnacentral:lncRNA from 1 species